rnacentral:lncRNA from 1 species
AACUAUUCUUACCGUUGACAGUUGACACAGAGAGGAAAUAGAUGACAUGUUCUGUUUCUGUUCACUACUAUGUGUGCUGCUUUCGUUUACUUGAAGAAGCACGGGAUCACAUAUUUCUUCAACAAGCUCAGGCAAAGCUAUCCGAACGAACUUGUGCAGGUUCUUUGAACAUUUUAUCUGUAGGCCAUUUUCCAGUAAGCAUCUCCAACAAUAGGAUUCCCUAACCAUGCAUAUAUGCGCAUGCAAUUAUUAUAGCUUUUGAUAUUUAGUGCGUUUGGUAAUUAAGUUGAUGCAAAGACUCAAAAAGAACACGAAUGAUUUUCAGUGUCCUUGAUUUCAAGUGACACUUUCAUGGGACUGGGUGACGACGUUACAUGACGUACAUUUAUGUAUAAUAAUGACUGCAUUAGCUAAAAGACACAAUUGAUUAUCGUUAACAUUAGAUAAUUUGAAAGAAACAACUGAAUACUUUAUAGAAGAAAAUGUUGGAGCAAUUUAAAAAAUAUGAAAAUAAUAUAAAUUCUAACGAUAAUAAGAAUCAAGAAGUCACCCAAAUUUAAUUUGAUAUAUAAACUCAAAACCAGCUGAUUCACUGUUCACAACCACAGUUUUCUUCCCGUUUUGCCCCUGUUAAAUUUGAUUUAUUACAUCUCUGCCACACUCUGAGAAAAUAUAUAUACGUUUUAUUUUUUUAUUCUCUUCUCUUCUUCUCUCUUCCCCCUCUCGCUCCUCACCGACGCCGACUUACCGUUCGAACGAGAAACCCAAAAAUCGACGUUUUCUGACGGCUGCCACUGCAACCACAACAAUUCGACUCAAGAGAGUGCUAACAACAACAACAUUCGAGCUUUGCGUGCUCGAAUCUACCCUCGACCGAAGAGUUCCAAAAGCCCAGCUUGCGGUGUUUAUUUUUCCGGGAAUUUCAGGCCUUUCCUACCUUUUUUGGGUCGGAGAGGGUAAUAUUUUUCCUCUACACCCUCGAAUUAUCUUAAAUUGUGAGCUAAUCGGAGUCUGCAAAUUUUUCCACGGCACCACCAUUCCAUCCGCGACGUUUUGCAAAACCCGCUUGACCGAAGGGAAGCCAUUUAUCGUACGCUAGAUCCCAAAAAUUUCUCUACAAAUAUCCCUUUUCGCAGUUCUUUUCUUGAUUUCUUGAUUUUUGCAUACCCCUUUCUCAAUUGAACCGAACCAUAGCAUUAGAAGAAAAAAAAUUAAUUAUUAGGGUUUUUUUUUUUUUUUGUUGGUCAUUUUUCCGAUUUUGGAAAUUUGAUGGUGUUUGUGUACCGUUGCAGGUGAUUGCCAAAGAAUCUCUCUUCUGACUGCACAGGUAUGAAAACAAUAGUCCUGACAUCAUCACUGAUACAAAUCCUUGCUAAUUUGUCGUCAUGGUUAAGAUUAUUGUUUCAAUCGGGUUGUGUUUUUGUCAUAAGGAGGAUUUCCGCAGGGUGAGAGAGGAAUUGGCUGAAACUCAUAAACCAAUCAUCGGUGGAAUUGAACGUUAGGAGCAAAACUAUUUUUCAUUAGAUAAGGAGCAAAACUAUUUUUCAUUAGAUAAGGAGUGAGCAAUGUUGAAUGCUAUCAGUUCUCAUAUGCUGCCUUGACAUGAAAACAUAAAUAUUGACGAGAAUUGCACGUCUAUUGCAUGAAAUCAUUUAUUUUCAUCCUAUUUUGCGUGUUUAGGGAACUUGAAUGAAUGGUCAAACUAUACCAUCGUAUGCAUUGGCGUUGAACCGUGCGCAUGCAUCCCUAAUUCGCCGCGGGUGGACGUUAGCCUUUUCUCCUCCCCCUUCAGUACUCAUGUGAGUCUGUGACUCAAGUCUAACACUUAAUCUUCUGUUUGGAAAUGCCUCUGUUUUUUUACUUGCUGAAAACGCCUCUGUCAAAUUUUUUUUAAAGGCCUUUUCUUUGUUUCAUCUUAUCUUCCUCCUUUUCUUUGCCCAGUUAUGCCUAUGUCAUCUCUUUCUAAUUUAAAUGCACUCAUUUAGUCACUCACAUUGUAUCUGAGAGCAGAUGAAAAAAGAGGAAAUAGGGAUUAUAUAUGUAAACUCUCUGUCUCAGCUUUGCUUAUAUGUCCCCCAUUUGUUUUCUUAUUCGUCAAUAUUAGAACUGCCAAUCCAAAUUCACCUAUUUGCUCGUCAUGAGACUAAUUAGAAUUAGCUAUCUUACGGAUGUGUUAAUUAAAAAAAGUCUAGCCAAUUUUUUGCAUGUUUAAGUAGUAGUAAUUAAACUCAAAAGAUGCUCAAGUGCUUGAAUUUUUAACAAUGUUCCAUUAGAGGAUCAAGCAUUGUAACUUAAUGCUGCCUCAUUGGGUUGUCAGCUUUUGUAUGGAUGCAAUUAGUAGAAAUUACGUUUUCAUUGCUACGAACAGUUUUGUUUUCAUUGAUGUCUGGAAAGAUUUGGGAAAACAGGAAGAAUUGUGUAAGAAUGUAGGUUGGUGUAUGUCUAAAAUUACAAGUUUUCUUCAUGCAUGUGUUUUUCUUUCUUCCUAGCUAUCUAUCUGUUGUCUCAGGUUUCAAUUACAUUCACACGAUAUUUUAACGGACUGGGCCAGAAGAACAUCUUUUUGGCAACGAUGAAGAAAGAAGAGUGAAGUCCUGAGGAACAAUCUGAAAGUUGGGACAUGAAAAGCAAAAAUAUUUUGGUGUGUAUUAUAUCUAUAUGAACAGCUUAGUCUCCAACUUUUUUAGCUAUGUAAUGUGUUCUACAAACACCUAUCUUUUAUUCCUUAAUGAACAUAAGGAUGUAAAUAGAGUUUGAUAUGGAUGUAAAUGGAUUUUAACAUAUUCUACACGUUUAACACAAUUAAAGCAUCGCACAAGUUCAAUUGCUAGUAUAUACUACAAUAACAAGUGUGUAAACAAUCAAUGUCAACAACAAAGAAAGUAAGAAAGAUUGACAAAUUUGAAGACUGGACAAACACAAACUUAGUAACGCAAAAUAUUAAACAGAACACUAAACUUUAAUAGACAUCCAAGCAAGCACAAAGAUGAUCUUACAAAGAUCAUUCACAAAUCCUAGAAUAAAAGCAACUGCAAAAAUAUUAAAAUCCAUUUAGCACUCCACGCAAACUACUGUCCAAGUUUCAUGGCAGUUGAAAUGAUGAUGACAGGCUAUUAUUUCUCACUACAUAGGCCUUGAUCAGAGACGCUCACUCGGCAUUCUGAUUCCAUUUAGCACGUCCCUUAUUAGACUCAAUUCAGCGACAACAUUGUUCAUGUCUAUUCGCUCCCUCGGCAUCGCUACAGAACAAGCCACUCCCACUCUUGCAAUGGAAGUCAAGCACUCCACAACCCUUUUUCUUUGAUCAUUUGGGGCAUGAUUCCCCCUAUUACUUCUGGUAUUAGUACUGUUGUUGCUUUCUUCUAUUUGAACAAGUACUGGAUCACAUAUUUCUUCCACACGUCCUGGUAGAGCCAUGGAAACAAAACUGUGUAGGUCCAUACCAUCUUUAAACAUUUCAUCUGUCGGCCUCUUGCCAGUUAACAUCUCCAACAAUAGUAUUCCGUAGCUAUACACGUCGCCAUAUGUUGCCACCUCGCUUCCCAUUCCAUACUCUUUUAAGUUAUAUGCACAAAAACAUAGCUUUGUUCUUAUGUGUGUCUUGAAAAAACUCAUGCUAACUAUAUAGUAUGUUUAUGUAUGUAAAAAAAAAUUUACCUGGGGGAGUAUAGCCUAUGGAGCCUUUUAUGACACUGGAACUGCUUUCGUGCAAAGGAGAUGGGCAAGAAGCAUCCCUGAAGUACCUUGCUAAACCGAAAUCACCAACACAAGCAGUCAUGUCACUGUCUAACAAAAUGUUGCUGGGCUUUAUAUCACAAUGAACUAUUGGCAUGUGGGAGCGGUUGUGCAAAUAAUCCAGAGCACACGCUACAUCGAUGGCAAUGUUAACUCUUUCAGUGAGGUUCAGGUUCUUUGGCAGAUUGGCUGGCCUAUCUACUCCUUGAGUUGAUAUGUGCAGCCACUCAUCUAGGCUUCCAUUCACCAUGAACUCAUACACUAGGGCUUUGAAAUCGUUUCCUUGAAAAUCAAUGCUUGAACAAGCAGUCAUUAGCUUGACAAGAUUUCGAUGCCUAAUGCUUUUCAAGGCUUCACAUUCAGUUAUGAAACUUUUAGAAGCUCUUGAAGUUCGAAGAUUGAGUACUUUCACCGCAACAUUUCUUUCUUCAUGCUGAUUGAGAACUCCCUUGUACACAUACCCGAAACUUCCAGCACCAAUCAGAUUCGAAGCAGAGAACCCAUCAGUUGCUUUGAAAAGAUCUCCAUAGGAUAGUUUCAAGAGUGAAAACCCCAGUGAUGAUCCUGAAGUUGACUUAAGCGCUCUAGCUUUUCUUGAUCGAUAAAGAAGCGCAAGUAACAACACCAAGACCAAGCCGACAACCCCACAGGAAACUGAGAUAAUUAAGUUCAACUUAGGAGAUAACCCGCGCAUAGAUUGCUUGGAGAUGCAUUUAGGCAAUCCUAAGUGAGGUAUACCUCCACAAAGCCAUGUGUUUCCCACAAUAGAUACCGCACUUGCAUUCUUAAAUACUCCUUGGAUUGGUACUGCACCUUCAAAAUCGUUAAAUGAAAGGUUCAAAUUAUGCAAGAAGGGGAAACUCCCCAAGUAGUUGGGAAUUAUGCCAGACAAUUUGUUGCGAGAGAGGUCGAAAUCUUCAAUUCCUCCCAAAGAGCUCAAGGAUUUAGGAAUUGUCCCAUGCAAUAAAUUUUCUCUCAGAGACAGAGUCGUCAAACUUGUGCAACUCCCUAAGCUUUGUGGAAUCUCACCAGAUAACUUGUUUUCAGAAACAUCCAAGAAAACAAGAUGCGGCAAGUUACCUACUUCCAUGGGAAUGGAUUCAGUAAGUUGGUUUCCAGAUAGAUCCAAGUGAACAAGUUGGUUUCCAGGUAGAUCCAAGUGAACAUGUAAAUUGAUGACUUGUUUUGGAAUUGGACCGCUAAGAUUGUUGUGGGAAAGAUCCAAUUCUAACAUAAACCUGCAGUCUCCGAGACUUUGUGGUAUGCUUCCAUUUAACUUGUUUGAGCUGAGAUACAAGUUGCUUAAUGAAGAAAGAUUUCCUAGAGAUGAUGGAACAUUACCUGACAAUUCAUUCGAAUCUAGAUAUAGGUCAUAAAGCUUAUUCAGUUUACCUAUUGAACUCGGUAUAGUGCCUGCCAAUAAAUUUGCAUGAAAGUUUAGUAUCUCCAUGUUGAUAAGAUUUCCAACUCGGAUGGGAAUGCUUCCGUGUAUCUGAUUCUCAUAGAAAAAUAUUUUCCUGAGCUUUGUUGAGAGAUUACUGACAGAUUCAGGCAUCAAUCCUCCAAAACUAUUGGCACUGAUAUCUAAAACUUCUAAAUUGGUGCAAUUAACUAGAGAAGAGAUGAAAUCCAAGUCACCUUCCUCAUUAUUUCCAAGAUUGUUAUCAUUAGGUCCAAACAAAUACAAAUUUGACAGGCGUGCCAGACUAGGCACUUUCCCAGUAAACUUAUUGGAAGAGAUAGAAAAUACUGAAAGGUUUGAGGCAUUGGAGAUUGAAGCUGGUACUGGUCCAGUGAAUUGAUUGGCAUAGAAAACAAAGGUUUCGAGGUUUGGAAAUAUAGUGUGGCCCAAGCCAGGAGGAAGAGUUCCAUGAAGGUUGUUUUGAGCCAUAUAAAUGAAUUUAAUUGACGAGAGGUUGUAUAUGGAGGGAGGAACGGUACCAUUCAAAUAAUUGACAGCCAAUAAGAAAGCCAUUAAGCUUUUCAACUGGCCAAGGCUAUUUGGAAUACCUCCAUGCAGAUUAUUUUCAAUCACAGAUAACAUCCAAAGACAAGAAAGAUUCCCAAAAGAAGGUGGGAUUGUCCCAGAAAAAUUGUUCUUGCCUAAAUCAAGAAACUGAAGCUUGGACAAUGAGGCAAUUUCAGUUGGAAGUUCGCCACUAAGAGUGUUGCCUAAUAAGCCAAGGUAUUGGAGGUUAGAGCAACUUGAUAUGUUGAAUGGAAUAUGACCACUGAAGGAGUUGUUUUCAAGGCCUAGUCUUUGCAAGCGGAACAAACGACCAAUUUCUGGAGGGAUGGUGUGGCUGAAGCUAUUGUUAUGGAGGUAUAAAGCCCGCAGAAAGCUCAAGUUUCCAAUGUGGGGAGAUAGGUGGCCUGCCAGCCCGCUUGAUCGGAGGUCGAACACUGUAACUCUCUGGUGUCUGCCGCCACAAGUGAUGCCUGGCCAACGACAGAAGUGGAGGGAUUCAUUCCAAGAGCCAAGGAUGCCCAGGGUAUCAGUCACGAUUUCAGCUUUGAAGGCAAGCAAGGAAAGCCUAUCCACCUCAUUUCCCGCUAAACGGGAGGAGGAGGCAGAGCUAAAAAGAAAGAGAAGAAAGAGUGGUUGGAUGAAAAUAAGCCAAAUGCUAAUAUGAAUACUUGAGAACUCCAUUUUAGCUAGGCUGCAAAAUGAAGCUCUGGAUAUUUAUGUAACUGUUAGUUGACGCAAAGAAUGGAGUCAAAUUCAGGGUCCGAAUUGGGUUGCACAGCUGGUUUCUGGAGGAAAAUUGGAUCACAGCCUUGUUAGAUUAAGACUAGGAAUUAAUAGACAUCAACUGUUAGAUUAAGACUAGUGUUGAAAAUAAUUGUGGGUAAUGAAUGCCCACGUAGAAACUGAAAACAUUGGGUAGAUUUUCAAUGCCCAUAAAAAUCAAUAUUGACUUGGGAGAUGAAGGAAGAUCAUAUUGUCAAAGAUGUGUGCUUGGAGUUUUUGGGUUUUUGGCUCAAAAUUAAGAUGAUACAAUAAAUUAGGUUUGUGUUACCUAUUUGGUUUUGGUGUCCUAAUUGGGUUUGGUUUUGACUUCUUAGUUAGUUUCCUUGGUGGAAAGAUUUUGUUAAUUACCUAUUUGAUUAGGAUUUGGAUUUAUUUCCUAUUAGGAUUCUUAUUGUAACCUAAGUCCUAUACACUAUAAAUAGGACCUUAGGGUUAGUGUAUUUAGUGUGCCUCGUCAUGGUUUAGAGAACUUUUCUCUAUUUUGGUUUUGGGUGGAGUCACGAGUGUGUGGCAAAUUCGUGGCUCAUUCGUGUGGCAAUUUGGUGAGAGUCAAUUUAUGAGUUUGUGAGUUAGAGAGCAAUUUUUCUCCGUUAGUUUUGGGUUAUCUACUCGUUUGGUUUAGGGUUUGUAAUUUGUGGGAUUUGGGUUGUGAGAGUUUAAACACUCUUUUGUAAUCUCCAUUUGUUUAGUGAAAUUCAUCGCCGUGCUUUGCUCGUGGACGUAUGCUUUACGCCUAACCACGUAAAUCUCGUGUUAGUUUGAGAUUGUUUGUUUUAGCUUUCACCUACGACGUUGAUAUUUGGUACUUUGUUAUAAUUCGUUUCCGUUUGCGCAUAAAAGUACAACAGGAGUUGUUCUAUAAAUAGAGCACUCUGUAAUGCUUUCAACAUACAGAUCAGAACAAAAGGAUCAAUAAUAUUAUUCAUUCCUCCAUCUUUUAUUUGUCAUUCACUUGAGCUAUAGUUUAAGUGUGAUAUUUUACAUCUGCUUCGCACCUAUCUAAAAGGUUAUCCCUCUAACUUUUACAUAUUUAUAACACGUUAUCAGCAGGAGUCUCUAAAUAUAACUAUUUCUCAUUCCUCUUCGCUGAAAGAAAUCAUUUCUCUUCGCCGAAAGAAAAAAAUGUUUCCUCUAAGGUUUUUACUGUUCAUCUUCUUCCUCUGCCUCAACUGCACGGUACACCCUCGCGACGAAUUGUUUGCUACAUGCCUGCUUCUAGUUCUCCAACUAGUGGUUACAUACAUCUAUGAUUUCUUGUUUGGUUUAGAUAUUGAUUACUAACCCAAUAUUUAUUUAUGCUGAUUUUACUGCAAUCCAAGAUGGUGCGGUACAAUCGCCCAUCUUGAACUGCAAAUUUCAUGUUACUGCGAUCCAAGAUGGUGCGGUAUCAUCGCCUAUCUUGAAUUACAGAUUUAAUUUUACUGCAAAUUUUAGGUGGAGCGGUAUAAUCGCCCGCCCUACCCUGUAUAUUUAAUUUGCCUGCAGUUUAAUUUCAUUGCAAUUUUAGGUGGUGCGGUAUAAUCGCCCACACUGCUCUGCGUAUUUAAAUUUUCCUGCUACUUGAGUGGUGCGGAAUAAUCACCCAUUCUAUGUUACAUUAUUUCAAUGAGAAUGGUGCGGUACAAUUGUCCUUCUCAUUCACCUUGAAAAUCUCGAGCCAGAAGUUUCGAGUACUUAUCAUUUUGGCUUGAAGAUCAAAAUAAAAAAUUUGUAAGAACCAGAAGUUCUAACACUAUAUUCCUCCAGGAAUACAUAUUAUUGCAAGUUCUUACACAUCUCAAUUUUCUUUCAGAAAAGAAAAUGGCGAACUUGGCAAAGCUUGAAUAUGCUGCCCUGGACAUUAUCAGGAAGAAUUACCUUACUUGGGUACUGGAUACCAAAAUCCAUCUGGAAGCAGGGAAUCUUGGAGAUACCAUCAGGGAAGAGAGCAACUCAUCCUCUCAAGAGCGGGUGAAGGCUAUGAUUUUUAUUCGUCGUCAUCUUGAUGAGGCACUAAAGAGUGAGUACUUAACGGUUGAAGAUCCGUUAGCUCUCUGCCAGGCUUUGAGAAGCAGAUACAAUAACCAGACAACGGUGAUUCUUCCAAGAGCUAGCUAUGAAUGGACUCACCUAAGGAUCCAGGAUUUCAAGUCAGUGGCUGAGUACAAUUCUACGUUGUUCAGAAUUACCUCUCAGAUGAAGCUCUGUGGGGAUACUAUUACUGAGGAAAUGUUGCUGGAAAAGACUUUCAGCAUAUUUCAUGCCUCUAACGUGCUCCUGCAGCAGCAGUAUAGAGCGCGAGGCUUCACUGAAUACAACCAACUAAUAUAUGUGCUCCUGGUAGCUGAACAGAACAAUUCACUCUUGAUGAAAAACCAUAAUUCUCAACCUAUUAGAUCUGCACCAUUACCAGAAGUGAAUGAUGCUUCCCUUGAAGUGAACGCCACAUCCUCUGGUGGCAAUAAUCAUAAACGAGGACGUGGCCACAAGCGAGGUCGAUGGAAUAGGAAAAGCAAUAAUCAUGGUGGUCAGUUUCACAACCAGGUUCCGAGGCAUAAUUCAGGCCCGAGCUUUAAACAUGUGAAUCGCCACAAAGGCAAAGCUCACAUGAACAAUGCUCCCAAGAACUCUGAAGGAGCCUGCCAUAGGUGUGGUGGCAAUGGGCAUUGGGUGCGCACUUGUCGUACCCCAAAACAUCUAGUGGAGCUGUAUCAAGCAUCCCUCAAGGAGAAAGGUGUCGAGACCAAUUUUCUCGACCAGGCUAAGCCAAUGGAUAUACCUGAUCCAGUGUUUGAUUUAUCAGGGUAAUUGGACACAACCCACCUAGAUGUUUCAGACUUCAUUAUGGAAAGAGGGAAUGAAGUAUACCGGUCCGACUGAAUCGUUUAUGUUUGAUGUACUUUUUUUAUGCUGAACUUGUUGUGUAAAACUAGCAUUUCAGAUUCAAUAAAAGUGGCAUGUAAAUUUCUUGUUAUAACUUGUUUUUAACUCUGAUUCCCUUACUCAUAGAGCAUGGAUAAAAACUAUGGUAAUUCUCAGAACAUGAAAAAUGGCAGAGAUAUCUGUCUUGCAGACUGCGCAACAACUCAUACAAUACUUUGAGAUCGAAAGUAUUUCUCAAGCUUGAUGUUUACAAAAGUAAAGGUAACAACAAUAUCAGGUCAAUCAGAUAUGAUUGAAGGCUCAGGGAAAGCCCAAAUUAUGUUACCAAAUGGAACAAUAUUAUCCAUACAGAAUGCGUUGUACGCUACUCGAUCUACUCGAAACUUGUUGAGUUUCAAAGACAUACGUUUAAAUGGAUACCACAUUGAAACGAAAAGUGCAGAAAAUGUGGAGUAUCUAUGCAUUACCUCCAAUGAUACCGAGAAGCGUAUAUUGGAGAAGUUGCGUAGUUUGUCAAGUGGAUUGUAUUAUACAUACAUAAAGACAGUUGAAUCACAUACUGUCAUGAACCAGAAUUUCAUUGAUUCAAAAGUUUACAUGCUUUGGCAUGACCGUCUGAGUCAUCCAGGAUCCACCAUAAUGCGUAGGAUCAUUACCAACUCUAAUGGACAUCCAUUAUUGAGCAAAGACAUUACUAUCUCAAAUGAUAACCCUUGUCAGGCUUAUUCUCAAGGGAAGUUGGUAAUUAGACCAUCACAACUAAAGGUUGAUGCUGAAUCCCCAUCAUUUCUGCAAAGAAUUCAAUGGGAUAUUUGUGGACCUAUUCAACCAUCUUGUGGACCAUUUCGAUAUUUUAUGGUUUUGUUUGAUGCAUCUACCAGAUGGUCACAUGUUUGUCUCUUGUCUACUCGGAAUGUAGCUUUUGCGAGACUUCUUGCUCAGAUAACUAAGUUAUGAGCACAGUUCCCAGAUUAUCCCAUUAAGUCAAUCCGACUUGAUAACGCUGGUGAAUUUACGUCUCAAACUUUUGAUGAUUACUGCAUGACAUUGGGCAUUGAUGUUGAACACCUUGUUCCUCAUGUCCAUACUCAAAAUGGUUUAGCAGAAGCAUUGAUCAAGUGGCUUCAGUUAAUAGCUCGCACUCUGCUUAUGAAAACCAAAUUGCCAGUUUCUGCAUUGAGACAUACCAUCCUACAUGAUGCAUCAUUGGUUCGAUUGAGACCUAUAGCCAACCACCAAUACUCUUCAAUACAACUCGUGUUUGGACAUCACAUUUCACAUUUACGAGUAUUUAGUUGUGCUGUUUAUGUGCCUAUUGCACCCCCGCAACGCACUAAAAUGGGACAUCAGCGUAGACUGGAAAUUUAUGUGAGUUUUGAUUCACCAUCUGUCAUUAGAUAUUUGGAAUCCUUGACAGGUGAUAUGUUUACAGCUCGUUUUGCUGAUUGUCAUUUUGAUGAGACAGUUUUCUCAUCGUUAGGGGGAGAAAAGACUGUUCCAAAAGAACGGAAAGAGCUGACAUGGGUUGUUCCCACCUUGUCUCAUUUUGAUUCUCGAAGCAUUCAAUGUGAAAAUGAAGUAAAAAAGAUCAUUCAUCUUCAAAGCAUUGCCAAUCAAAUGCCAGAUGCAUUUAAUGAUGCUAUGAAAGUGACAAAAUCACAUAUACCCGCUGUAAAUGCACCUGCCAAAAUUGAUGUCCCUGUUGGACAAAAUAAAGUGGCAGCGAAUGAUUCAUCUGGUGCACGCCUGAAGCGUGGUAGACCACGAGGUUCAAAAGAUUCAGCCCCUCGAAAGAGAAAGACAAGGGCACAGCUGAAUCCAAAUGAAAUCAUUCAGGAAGAGGAAAUGAAUGACAAAUCCACAAUUCAUGAUUCUGGACUUCCAGAAGAAGAGAAUGUCCUUGAUGAGACACAUGUCCCUGAAGAGACAGUAGUACAUGAGAGCAAAAAAAUCUCCAUAAAUUAUGCAUGUACUAAUGAAUUGUGGGAUCGGAAUGAAAUACUCAUUGACGAUAUGUUUGCAUUCGCAGUAGCCACUGAAAUCAUAUUAAGUGAUGAUCUUGAGCCCCGCUAUAUUGAUGAGUGCAAACAGAGACAAGAUUGGCCUAAUGAAAAGAUGCAAUCCAGACAGAAUUAAAUUCCUUGGAAAGGCGAAGUGUUUUUGGACCAGUAGUCCAAACCUCGCCUGGUGUAAAUCUUGUGGGUUACAAAUGGGUAUUCACAAGGAAACGCAAUGAGAAAAAUGAGAUUGCAAGAUAUAAAGCACGACUCGUUGCACAAGGUUUUUCACAAAGACCUGGAAUUGAUUAUGAGGAGACAUACUCUCUUGUAAUGAACGCAAUUACGUUCCGUUACUUAAUAAGUUUAGUGAUUUCAUAAAAGCUUGACAUGCGACUUAUGGAUGUCAUCACUGUGUAUCUAUAUGGAGAAUUAGAUACUGACAUAUAUAUGAAAGUCCUAGAAGGACUCAAGUCGCCUGAAACAGCUAACAAACCACGAAGUAUGCUCUCGAUCAAAUUAAGGCGAUCAUUGUAUGAGCUAAAACAAUCUGGACGAAUGUGGUAUAAUUGUCUCAGUGAGUAUUUGAUCAAAGAAGGGUAUAUUAACAAUGUCAUUUGCCCUUGUGUGUUCAUUAAGAAAUCCAACUCUGCAUUUGCUAUAGUGGCAGUAUAUGUUGAUGAUAUGAACCUAGUUGGAACUCCUGAAAAGUUACAUAAAACUGCUGAAUAUCUGAAAAGCGAAUUUGAAAUGAAAGACCUUGGAAAAACAAAAUUUUGUCUCAGCCUGCAGAUCGAGCAUUGUGCUAGUGGAAUUUUGGUCCAUCAAUCAGCUUACAUUGAAAAAAUCCUGAAGCGAUUUGGUAUGGACAAGGCUUAUCCACUCAGCACACCAAUGGUCGUUCGUUCUCUGGACAUUAAGAAAGAUCCAUUCCGUCCAAAAGAAGAUGAUGAAAUGGUCCUUGGACCAGAAGUACCAUAUCUGAGUGCAGUAGGUGCUUUGUUGUAUUUAGCACAAUGUACCAGACCAGAUAUAGCUUUUUCAGUCAACUUGUUAGCCAGGUAUAACUUUGCUCCAACAAUCCGUCAUUGGAAGGGUGUCAAAGAUAUAUUGUGAUACCUUUGUGGGACAAAAGAUAUAGGUCUCUUCUACUCAAAGAACUCCAUAAAUGACCAGGUCCUUGUCGGAUAUGCAGAUGUUGGUUUCCUCUCUGAUCUGCAUAAAGCCCGCUCACAAACUGGAUAUGUGUUCAACAAUGGAGAUACAACAAUCUCAUGGCGCUCAACAAAGCAAACAUUAGUUGCUACAUCUUCAAAUCAUUCAGAAAUACUUGCUUUACAUGAAGCAAGUCGUGAAUGUUCUUGGUUAAGAUCAAUGAUUCAUCAUAUUCGGAAUUCAUGUGGUCUAACUUCGAAGACAGACAAUGCAACUGUCAUUCAUGAAGAUAAUGCAGCAUGUGUUGCCCAAAUGAAGGAAGGAUUCAUCAAGGGCGAUAAGACUAAACACAUAUCUCCAAAGUUUUUCAGUGCACAUGAGCUCCAGAAGGCUAAAGUUAUUAACGUCAGACAAAUCCGUUCUAAUGAAAAUCUGGCAGACUUGUUCACCAAGUCUCUACCAAAAUGCACAUUUCAGAAGUUAAUGCAAAGUAUCAGAUUACGUCGACUUACCAAACAGCUGAAUUUGGAGAAUGAGGAAUCAGGGGGAGAUACAUAUCAGGGGGAGCAUCCAUGAUACAUGCUUGUUGUACUCUUUUUCCUUCGAUUAGGAUUUUUCCCACUGGGUUUUUCCUAUCAAGGUUUUAACGAGGCAACAUAAACAUACUUAACACUAUAUCAACAAUUCAGGUAAAGUUGUACUCUUCGGUAUGGUUUUAUUCCCACUGGGUUUUUCCAAGCAAGGUUUUAACGAGGCAACUGAUGUUGAUAUGUGGGCAUCCAAGGAUGAGUGUUGAAAAUAAUAGUGGGUAAUGAAUGCCCACGUAGAAACUGAAAACAUUGGGUAGAUUUUCAAUGCCCAUAAAAAUCAAUAUUGACUUGGGAGAUGAAGGAAGAUCAUAUUGUCAAAGAUGUGUGCUUGGAGUUGCUCUAUAAAUAGAGCACUUUGUAAUGCUUUCAACAUACAGAUCAAAACAAAAGGAUCAACAAUAUCAUUCAUUCCUCCAUCUUUUAUUUGUCAUUCACUUAAACUAUAGUUUUAGUAUGAUAUUUUACAUCUGCUUCACACCUAUUUAAAAGGUUAUCCCUCUAACUUUUACAUAUUUAUAACAACUAGGGAAUUAAUAGACAUCACAACCUUGUUAGUCAAUAGAAAUAAAAUUGGAUCAAUGCGGUUUUUAGCUUUGAUUUGUCAAACUAUACCAAUAUCCACAUAAUUUCUCUAAGAAUUUGAUUCAUAUAUAUAUAUAUAGCGAUACUAUUUACAUGACACACCCCGUCCCGAAGGAGGGCAUGCUGGCCGUCACGUGAGAGUGACGUAACCAUUUACACAGUUCGGAAGCUUUAAAGAUACAAUUACUAAGGUAUAACACCCGAGGGUGAAUCCUACUUUUGUGAAUUCUGUCAGAACACCGUUGGAUUCCUCGUGGCCACCAAAGAUCUGCUAACUUGAACCUGGAGGGGCGCAAAACAAAAUGGAGUGGGUCAGUAAAAUAAAGUUUUUCGAAAACAUUUCACUUAAAACAUUUCUAACCCUUCACCGUAAAACCUGUAUACUUUCCCAGAAAAUAGUAUAUAUAAAACCAUAUGUAAUCUCAAAACUCAAAUCCCAAGUCUUUAACAUUUUUCAAGAAAAAUAUGUCAUGCCAUGAAUCAAAAUAUAAAUCAGGUGAAAUAAGGAAUCAAUCGGAGACCCUGCACUUGGUCCUAUACGAUUAAUUCUAUAGCUCAAUAUCCCACUCAGCCGGAGUCACCACAGUGACCUAUACGGCCCUACUCUGCACAUCACUCGGAACUACGUAAGGUAGUCUGUACGAUGAAAGGUGUAAAAAUACGCUCUAGUGCUUCUCUCAUCAAUCAUCUGCGCGCAUAAUUUAAGGUCACCCACUAGUCGGAAUCACACCUAGUGAUCUAUACGACUAGCAUGUCGGAACCCUCACAUGGUCUGUACGACAUCCACCUACUUGGAUCCAAGGCGAGCGUGCGGUGUGGUGAAUAAUAUAAGCACUAACACCUAGGGUGCAGGUUAUGAGCUUAAAACGUCUCAACAUCAAACAAUUCAAUGAAUAAUGAACUCUGUGCCUCCACAGCACCAUGCACAUGUAUGCAUCAUAUAUCAAUCAUAUAAUUCAUAUAACAAUUCAUAUUUUCUCCAAAUAAUUCUAUGCAUGGCAUUUGAAAAACAUAUUUUCAAAUAAAUGCAUUUUCUGGGAAAAACAAUAGUAUAUAGGUAAUACGAAAACAAAACUGCCCACUCACCUGGAAUUCGCCCUACAACUCCCUAGCACAAUACAUCAAGGCAUCAUGACGAUCGGCGCCUAGAACAAUAAUCAAAUCCAACAUCAGAAAUCAUAUCGAUAGAAUAUAUAACUUAUAUAAAACACGUCACUACGCAGUUCGAUCCGGAAUAUCUGCAACUCAGAUUUCCAAUCCAUAACUUCCAGAGGUCCACAAUAAAUCUCUAGAACAACAUCCUAAAAUUUCCUUACCAUCCAACGGUCGGAUCUCCGUCAAUUUCCAAAACCAAGUGACGGUUAACAUUCUAUUUUAUGAACUUACAACUCUAAUUCCAGAAGAUCCGUAAAUCGGAUUCCCAAUCCGUAAGUUCAUAUAAUCCUCAAAUAUUACGUAUUACAACGUAUCAAAGUUUGGUGACGAUCCGACGGUUGGAUCGUCAAUUCACAUUUUCACCUAACCACGAAUCGAAACGAACUUAGGUUCAAUUACUCAAUUUAAGUCCAUCAAUUAUCAAAACUGAACCUAGAACCUUAAACACAUGCUAAGAAUGACAUUGGCGGGCCAUUGGCCACGCGCCGCCGCACGGGCCGCCGCGGGUGGCGGUUGGCCGCCCCGGCUCGCCGGAAAAUCCAACUAUUUCCAAAAAUUACCAAAAUUUUCAGAUUUGAAGAUCUCAACGAGUAGAGUAAACUUUAUACCUGAAGCCAAGGCCAAUUUGGCCUGGAAGAGCUCCAAUUUUUCCAAAACCGUGAAGAACCCUAGAAUUUGGGUGAGUUCCAAUUCGUCUUCAAAUCAACUCCGUCGUCCCAACCAAUGCUUGGGCUUUGUUCUAGGUCUUAAGGGAAUGCUAAUGGUGUUAGUAAUUGAAAGAAAACAUUUCAAAUUUUGAAGAAUUUGAACAAGAAAAAUCGCGGCACCACGGGUGCGUUCUUCACCAAUUCACCAUCAAAUUUCAUGAUAUUUUGGAUGAAACAUGGAGAGGGAAGGCCUAUGUGUUGAUUGGGAGUUGUACCUUGAUCCAAUUUGUGAGAAUUCCGGUGAAAAUCGUCGGAAUUUGGGUGUGGGUGUCGCGGGUCGAAACGGGUCGUGGGUGAAGACCCAUUUUCUUCCUUCUCUCCUCCGCUUCUCGCCCUCUCUCCUUUCCUCCUUUCUCUGUUCCGAUUGGCCAGUCAGCUUUCUCUCUCCUCUCCCCAUUCGGCCUCUCCUCCUUCUUCUCCGAUUGGGCAGCUUUGCCCAAUCCUCUAUUUUCUUCUUCUUCUCUCACGUACACACACACACACAACCUUCUUUCAUCAUUUAUUUUUAUUUUCUUUCUCUUACAUCCAAGCCAUCCAUUUCAUUCUUCAUUAAAUCUGGGCCGUCCAUUUUCAUAAAAGAAAUUCUGGAUUUUACUAAAAUUAUAAUUCCUUAAAAUCCCAAAUUUCAAACGUUAAUAACUUUUUCGAUAUAACUCCAAAUCACGAACCGUCAGCGCCCACACGUCCGAAGCGACGAGUACUACGAGGAUAUGUCAAGAAAACAAAUCUUAGAUGGUACGACACAACGAUUAACCUCGAAUAAUGUGCGUUCCUCAAAGGGCAUUUUUGUAAAAUCCUUUAUUAAAACUUUAAAACUCUUAAAAUCGGGGACGGACUGUCACAUUACAUACAUGUGGAAUGUAGGAAGGAAAUUAGUUCUUUUGUUCUGAAUCAAGAUCACUAAUUCCCUACAAUUGAACAUCAAGAAGACCACUAAUUCUGAAAUACAGAUUAAAUUUCUCUCCAUGUUAAAAAGCAUGUAAGCAGAGACAAAGGAUGUGGUUUCUAUUACCGGUACGAUUAGCUUGUAAAGAUUUGUCCACUGUGUUCUGAAUAUUGGUCCCAACUGUAACCACCUUUGAGAACUUUACUGUAGAUAAUUCCACUGUAAAAAGAAAUCCAUGUUAGAAUGCGUUUCUAUUCAUAACACGUUUAAUACUUUUUAGUGGACCACGAUCGAGAUUUUAAUUUUGUAUGUCAAUAUAUAAAAUAGAACAAAGCCUCUUAACAAUCUAAAAAUAUCAUAUAAAUGAUAGCGGUACGUACUUUUGGUAGAUAAUUUGUAAUCAGAUUGCAAAAUAUUGGGAUGUCUAGUUCCCGCAGGAGUGUGCUACCCUUAGCAGAGAGGAUACUUUUAGAUAUUUCGUAAUUGCCCAGAUGAAAUCAUGGCUAAUGCCUCACACAUCUGUCAUAAAAUAAUCUUAAACACAAAGAUUCAUGAUUAUAGCCUAAAUUAACAUCGCAUUAUCAAGUGUCCCACAUGCUGACAUCCAGCAAACCAAUCAAAACAAAAGAUGCAUAAAAGGGUCUCAAGUUUUGCCAAAUACACCACAAUGAAGAUGCUUUUACCCAAAUGAAGGAAUAGACUUACCAUCAUAGGAAACUCAUGCCUCCUCUCUACGAAGCUUUGCUGGCACUCUGCGUUUUCUCACCUGCAAUUUAGACCCAAUGCGCAGAGGCCAAAGAACCGAGAAAAUCGUGUGUGCGGGCGUGUGUGUUUCUCUGGUAUAUUUUAUCAAACAGGUGACAGGCAAACACAAGAUACAUAUGGACGUAAAUGUUGUUUGUAAACUCAAAUAGAACGUGUAAAAUUACACUCUAAAAUGGUUUGGCAAUUUCAUUUCAUUAAGUGAUUUCAAAUUCAAUAAUCAGAACAUAAAAGAAGAAAUACGAAAAAUUACAGUUAGAAGUCACACAUCAAUUAAAGAGUUGAAAAAUAAGCUAGCUUGAUUAAGGAACUAUAUUUACACCUACAGAAUAAUAAAUACAACAAUCUAGUACUGAUGAAAUACUCAAAAAAGGCAAAAUUCGUUUUUCAUUAAUUCCCCAUAUUAAACCUAAAUAUAAAAAUCGAUCCGCUUUAAACCCAGAAAUUCGAAACCAACCCCUCACCAAGGAAAGUAUCAGAAAUUUUAACCCUUAGAGUUUAUAUUUUUAUAUUUUUUAAUUUUUUUUAAUGUCAAACGAUCGAUUUUGUCGAACCAUAAAAGUGCAGAAAAUAAUACACAAAAAUUACAAAUUUGGUUCCACAAAAUCCCAAAAGGGAGAAGCAACAAGAGAAACUAAAAUGUGAAGGAUGAGAGUCUGCAGCCCUAAUUUUCAUAUCCACAAACGCACAAAUUCUUAUAUUUUCAAAAGCAUGCGCAGCGCAACACAAAAACUAAAUAAAAACUUACAUAAUACAUGAAUCAUCUGUGUUUUGCUUUGCAAACAGCCAAGGGGAUAGGAACUAAAAUAUAUUCCCUGACCAACAACCUCUCAAUAACCAAGCUUGAAAGCAUAAAAACAAACCCUUCAAUCUUUGUGUGCAAAAUUAAUACCACCAUAAUUGGGACAAUUCAAUUCCCUUAAUUCUAAGGGAAUUAUCCAAGAUCGACCAGAACACACAAUUCAGAUUGGGUAUCCACAACAGACAAAAACAAACAGAGAAUCUUCAUUUCUCAAUUUUCUGAGAGAAUUUAAGAUUUUCGGACAAAAAUUGGGAUGAAAAUUAUGACUUCCACCAGAAAACCAGAUCGAUUGUUGAAUCCAAUCAAAAGAGAGAACCUUACAAUUUGACAUUUAUCUGAAAACAUUACGAAAGAUAUUUUAAGACUUGGCCUCUGACUUGUGAAGUACCUAAAAUUACAAUUUGUUUUAUAACCUUCAUUAGAGAAAAAGCCCAAACUCCUUUAAUCCAAUCAUAAAUACACAUUGCAAGCAUUUGAUCCAUAUCAUUAAUUAGCAUUAAUCAUAACCCGAUCAUGAUUCAUCUUAUCCCAACAUCAAAAUCAAAUGAAAUUCUACUAUAAUAACAAUAACAACAGUUAACCUUUGAAUCUACAAACACAUUUUCUAGUAACAUGUCCCAUGUUUCUUGAUCAUUGCAAAUUUGCAACUACCAAAAUCCAGAGGACCUCUCAAGCUUAUGCAUCACCAUAUGGUGCACCACAAAAAACAUAUAAACUGAACAAUUAAUCACAAUAAACGCUAUAUUCUCAGGUAAAAGUGCACCAUAUGGUAAAAGAUGAUCUUUCAAAUUUGGAAUGCAAGUUGGUAAACAACAAUAUCGUAGGCAAUCAUUAUAUAGUGUCUACAAUAUUAGGAAUAAAUGUGCAUGCAGAUGUUUGUUAAUGUAUCUCUAAGUAGAUGGUUAAUUUGGUUCAAGACUACUUUAUCAAUUUGCCACUGAAUUUUAUGAUCACUGUCACUAAGUAGCUCCAAUUACCUGUGCACAACGCUCUAAAAUUUUCUCCCAGUGAGGUUUAAGUAAUCAGGCAUUUAAAAAAUAAUUAUUCCAAAAAUUUCAACAAACGUAAUUAAUUUGGUGAUUAGCAAUAGCAUGCACUGAUACAAACAAAAAUACGCGAUCGUGAUUUAUACUGCAAAAUUUGAUCAAAAUAAGAUGAUUAUUAAUCCAGCUGGUUUCUCCAAACAAAAGUAUAAACUUGUACGGCAAUUACUACAAUCUCAAUCAAAAUUCCACUGUUUAACACACAGUGCUUUGGAACUGUGUAAAUAAUUUAAAAUCAGAAAAAGUCUCAAUUUGUUUUUUGAACUCGCAAAAUUUAAGCAAAAUGCAAUUCCUAAAAAGGAUUUUGGAGAAUGGAAAGGCCAAUUCCACCCAAUAUAAAUUACGAUAAUUAAAAAAUAAUUCAAAUGCAGACAAUUUGAUCGAAAUUUGCAGAGCAGAAAACCCUAAAAACAACAGAAAGAAAAACCCAAAAUAAAAUGACGAACAAUAAUCACUAAUCACAUACAACAACAACAAAGCCUUUUCCCACUAAGUGGGGUCGGCUAUAUGAAUCCUAGAACGCCAUUGCGCUCGGUUUUGUGUCAUGUCCUCCGUUAGAUCAAAGUACUCUAAGUCUUUUCUUAGAGUCUCUUCCAAAGUUUUCCUAGGUCUUCCUCUACCCCUUCGGCCCUGAACCUCUGUCCCGUAGUCACAUCUUCGAACCGGAGCGUCAUUCUGCCUUCUUUGCACAUGUCCAAAUCACCGGAGCCGAUUUUCUCUCAUCUUUCCUACAAUUUCGGCUACUCCUACUUUACCUCGGAUAUCCUCAUUCCCAAUCUUAUCCUUUCUCGUGUGCCCACACAUCCCACGAAGCAUCCUCAUCUCCGCUACACCCAUUUUGUGUACGUGUUGAUGCUUCACCGCCCAACAUUCUGUACCAUACAACAUCGCUGGCCUUAUUGCCGUCCUAUAAAAUUUUCCCUUGCGCUUCAGUGGCCUACGACGGUCACACAACACGCCGGAUGCAUUCUUACACUUCAUCCAUCCAGCUCGUAUUCUAUGGUUGAGAUCUCCAUCUAAUUCUCCGUUCUCUUGCAAGAUAGAUCCUAGGUAGCGAAAACGGUCGCUUUUUGUGAUCUUCGCUAGAUUGCUCCGGUCAUUAAUGUGGAUAAGUAUAUAAAUGGAUAGAGAUAGGCAAGCAAACACAAGAUGUACGUGGUUCACCCAGAUUGGCUACGUCCACGGAAUAGAAGAGUUCUCAUUAAUUGUGAACGGUUUACACAAGUACAUAGGUUCAAGCUCUCCUUUAGUGAGUACAAGUGAAUGAUUUAGUACAAAUGACAUUAGGAAAUAUUGUGGGAGAAUGAUCUCGUAAUCACGAAACUUCUAAGUAUCGGAGUGUGGUGUCGUCUUGACUUGUCUUAUCUGUCUCAUAGGUAGAUGUGGCAUCUUCUCUGGAAGUACUCUUCCUCCAUCCGGGGGUGGUAUCUUUAACUGGUGGAGAUGCACAAGGUAAUGUAUCAAUUUCACUUGAAGCUUACUUGUAGUUUCAGGCUUGGUCAAGCGCGAUACAAACCAUGUAGUAGGAGUCCCCCAAGUCGCCGAGCUAGGGGGUCUGCUGAAAGAGGUGACAGACAAGGUAAGCAAUCAGAGCUCCGACUGAUUGUUCACCUUCUCCCCAUCUUGCAGCAGCAUGAAGGAUAAAGAGAAGAAAAAUGAGAAGAGAUGAUAUGAGAUACUUUUGCUUUUGAAGAAGUAACUUUCCACAGGCUUAUUCUUGAACUGAGCUGGAGGGUUUUCUGGUUUCCUCCAGAGUAUAAGGCCGACUGAAGAAUUUGAGGGUCAAAACAAGUCCAUCAAAUCUAGAGUACGUUCCACCCUGCUGAUAUGGGAUACUUUUGCUUUUGACAGAGUAAUGGAUGUAUCGGCACGUGUGCUGUUACGCUUGUCUCCACAUGCUUCCUUGUAUCCUUCGCACUUGCCCUAUCUGUUCCUCAAGCAGAUGCGGAAUCUUCCCUGGAAACAUAAGAUGUUGAAGAUGAGUACUCGAGAGCAAUGCCAGGUAAGUAAUCAAGGAAGGGAUUCCAGGCAGUCAGUUCCUGGCUGGAAGCUUGAUUCCAAGUGCUGACUGAUUGCUCUCUUUCUCCUUGUCUUGCAGGUAAAAACAAGGCCAAAGGAAAAGACAGGGAAAAAGCAUGAUAUGGGAUACUCUUGCUUUUAACCCUGAUGAUAUGAGAUAUUCUUGCUCUAGUAUAGCUUGUUUGCAGAGGUAUUAUCGGGGGGAAAGAAAGCUGAAUAUUUCGAAAGGCUUCGUUGGGAGUGCCCUCUCAGAUAUGAUGAAGGGUUGAGCAUUUUUGCAGGUCUGCCUAUCUGUUGGGGAUGGAGGUCGACAUAUAUAGGAGUCUCCCUAACAAGUAGUAAUGUUAUUCCUUUACCCUGCUUGGUCAUAGCACGGUAGUGAGAGCUGCAAGUUUCACAUGUUUUAACUCUGUCAGAGCACUUUGAAAAAGUGGUCUGUGGUAUCUGGCUCUCGAGAUUCGGAGAACGAUGCCUCUUCGAUUUUUGAGAAAGCAAUCAUGCUGGGGGUCUGGCUCUCGAGAUUCGGGGAGCAGUGUCUCUUCGAUUUUUGAGAAAGUAAUCAUGUUGGGAGUCUGGCUCUCGAGAUUCGGAGGGCGGUGCCUCUUCGAUUUUGGAGCAAGCAAUCUUGUUGGGAGUGUUGUCUCGAAUGUGAGUAAAGGUUGGGCAUGUUUGCUAGUCUACCUUGCCACGAAGCACAAAGGUUGACACACAGGGACUUUCCAAUUAUCCAGCAAUGAUACUGUUCCUUUACCCUCUCUUCGAUUAUGAGAAAGUAGUCAUGUUGGGAGUCUGGCUCUCGAGAUUCGGAGGACGGUGUCUCUUCGAUUUUGGAGUAAGCAAUCUUGUUGGGAGUGUUUUCUCGAAUGUGAGUAAAGGUUGGGCAUGUUUGCUAGUCUACCUUGCCACGAAGCACAGAGGUUGACAAACAGGGACUUUCCAAUUAUCCAGCAGUGGUACUGUUCCUUUACCCUUGUGGGUAAUAAUAUGGUAGCUAGACCUUCAAAAUUUAUGUGUCUAAACUUUGUUAGUGCUGUUGCUUUGCUAUUCUUUUACCUUUCUUGGUCAGAGCGAUGUAGUGGGAGCUGCAAGCUUCACGUGCUCAACUUUGGCAAAGUUAUCUUUGGUACCCAUGAGCUAUUGUUGCGUGUGGGAAGUGGGUGAUUGAACAGUAAGAUUCAUGUGCUUUCUACUUCACCAGAAGUCUUCGACAGAAUGCCCAUAAUUUCUGCAAAGCUGAGUGUGCGUGUGACAGGUGCUGACAAGGCUAGAAAAGUAGGUGCCUCUUCGAUUUCUGAGAUCGGCCCUCGUGGUCUCUGAGCAGCCCAGCUUUUGAGAAAGCGAGCGCCUCUUCGAUUGAUUCGGAGAACGAUGCCUCAUCGAUUUUUGAGAAAGCAAUCAUGUUGGGGGUCUGGCUCUCGAAGAUUCGGGGAGCAGUGUCUCUUCGAUUUUUGAGAAAGUAAUCAUGUUGGGAGUCUGGCUCUCGAGAUUCGGAGGGCGGUGCCUCUUCGAUUUUGGAGCAAGCAAUCUUGUUGGGAGUGUUUUCUCGAAUGUGAGUAAAGGUUGGGCAUGUUUGCUAGUCUACCUUGCCACGAAGCACAGAGGUUGACACACAGGGACUUUCCAAUUAUCCAGCAAUGGUACUGUUCCUUUACCCUCUCUUCGAUUUUUAAGAAAGUAGUCAUGUUGGGAGUCUGGCUCUCGAGAUUCGGAGGACGGUGCCUCUUCGAUUUUGGAGCAAGCAAUCUUAUUGGGAGUGUUUUCUCGAAUGUGAGUAAAGGUUGGGCAUGUUUGCUAGUCUACCUUGCCACGAAGCACAGAGGUUGACACACAGGGACUUUCCAAUUAUCCAGCAGUGGUACUGUUCCUUUACCCUUGUGGGUAAUAAUAUGGUAGCUAGACCUUCAAAAUUUAUGGGUCUAAACUUUGUUAGUGUUGUUUCUUUGCUAUUCUUUUACCCUUCUUGGUCAGAGCGAUGUAGUGGGAGCUGCAAGCUUCACGUGCUCAACUUUGGCAGAGAACUUUGGCAAAGUUAUAUGUGGUACCCAUGAGCUAUUGUUGCGUGUGGGAAGUGGGUGAUUGAACAGUAAGAUUCAUGUGUUUUCUACUUCCCCAGAAGUUUUCGACAGAAUGCCCAUAAUUUCCGCAAAGCUGAGUGUGCGUGUGACAGGUGCUGACAAGGCUGGAAAAGUAGGUGCCUCUCUUCGAUUUCUGAGAUCGGCCCUCGUGGUCUCUGGGGAGCCCAGCUUUUGAGAAAGCGAGCGCCUCUUCGAUUUCUGAGAUCGGCCUUCGUGGUCUUUGAGCAGCCCAACUUUUGAGAAAGCAAACGCCUCUUCGAUUUCUGAGAUCAACCCUCGUGAUCUCUAAGCAGCCCAGCUUUUGAGAAAGCAAACGCCUCUUCGAUUUCUGAGCAGGCGCCUCUUCGAUUUCUGAAGCUCCGUCGAGUGCAGAUUUUUAUAGGGGCUGGCAUUAAGUUCCAAAGCACACUUGAAUCUCCACCAGUAGAAGCUUCAUUCUUGCACUUCUAAGAUCUUGAUUUGUCCGACCUCUUCUCUCUUCAACACCUUUGAAAAUGUCUGGCCCCUCCGACCGUCGUUUUGACUUGAACCUUGUUGAAGAGGCAGCCCCGCCUUCUCCAGACAACAUAUGGCGCCCAUCCUUCGUCUCCCCUACUGGUCCUCUUACCGUUGGGGAUUCCGUGAUGAAGAAUGAUAUGACCGCUGCGGUGGUGGCCAGGAACCUUCUCACUCCCAAAGAUAACAGACUACUUUCCAAACGGUCUGAUGAGUUAGCUGUUAAGGAUUCGCUGGCUCUCAGUGUUCAGUGUGCAGGUUCUGUGUCUAAUAUGGCCCAACGCCUAUUUGCUCGAACCCGCCAAGUUGAAUCAUUGGCGGCUGAAGUGAUGAGUCUCAAACAGGAGAUUAGAGGGCUCAAGCAUGAGAAUAAACAGUUGCACCGGCUCGCACAUGACUAUGCUACAAACAUGAAGAGGAAGCUUGACCAGAUGAAGGAAACUGAUGGUCAGGUUUUACUUGAUCAUCAGAGAUUUGUGGGUUUGUUCCAAAGGCAUUUAUUGCCUUCGUCUUCUGGGGCUUGUACCGCGUAAUGAAGCUCCAAAUGAUCAACCUCUGAUGCCUCCUCCUUCUAGGGUUCUGUCCAGUACUGAGGCUCCAAAUGAUCCCCCUCCGGUGCCUUCUCUUUCUGGGGCUCUACCGACUGCUGAGACUUCUCCUAAGCAACCUUUGUGAAGGCUCCCUCUUGUGUGUUUAUUUUGACUCAUGUAUAUGUACAUAUUUGUAGCUUAUCGGGGAUAUCAAUAAAUAAGCUUUCCUUCAUUUCAACGUAUUGUGUUAGAUACACCAAAGCCUUCUUCGCUAAGUUCUUUGAAUUUUCUUUUGUUGAAGCUUGUAUGUUGAAGCUUUCUGAGUGGAGCAUGUAGGUUGGGGUAGUGUUCCCUUAAUUUUCCGAGUGAGGAAAACUUCUCGGUUGGAGACUUGGAAAAUCCAAGUCACUGAGUGGGAUCGGCUAUAUGAAUCUUAGAACGCCAUUGUGCUCGAUCCUGUGUCAUGUCCUUCGUUAGAUCCAAAUACUCUAAGUCUUUUCUUAUAGUCUCUUCCAAAGUUUUCCUAGGUCUUCCUCUACCCUUUCGGCCCUGAACCUCUGUCCCAUCCCCUUCGGCCCUGAACCUCUGUCCCAUAGUCGCAUCUUCUAAUCGGAGCGUCAGUAGGCCUUCUUUGCACAUGUCCAAACCACCGUAACCGAUUUUCUCUCAUCUUUCCUUCAAUUUCGGCUACUCCUACUUUACCCCGGAUAUCCUCAUUCCUAAUCUUAUCCUUUCUCGUGUGCCCACACAUCCAACGAAGCAUCCUCAUCUCCGCUACACCCAUUUUGUGUACGUGUUGAUGUUUCACCGCCCAACAUUCUGUGUCAUACAGCAUCGCCGGCCUUAUUGCCGUCUUAUAAAAUUUUCCCUUGAGCUUCAGUGGCAUACGGCGGUCACAUAACACGCCGGAUGCACUCUUCCACUUCAUCCAUCCAGCUUGUAUUCUAUGGUUGAGAUCUCCAUCUAAUUCUCCGUUCUUUUGCAAGAUAGAUCCUAGGUAACGAAAACGGUCGCUCUUUGGUAUUUCUUGAUCUCCGAUCCUCACCCCUAACUCGUUUUGGCCUCCAUUUGCACUGAACUUGCACUCCAUAUAUUCUGUCUUUGAUCGGCUUAGGCGAAGACCUUUAGAUUCCAACACUUCUCUCCAAAGGUUAAGCUUUGCAUUUACCCCUUCCUGAGUUUCAUCUAUCAACACUAUAUCGUCUGCGAAAAGCAUACACCAAGGAAUAUCAUCUUGAAUAUGUCCUGUUAACUCAUCCAUUACCAACGCAAAAAGGUAAGGACUUAAGGAUGAGCCUUGAUGUAAUCCUACAGUUAUGGGAAAGCUUUCGGUUUGUCCUUCAUGAGUUCUUACGGCAGUCUUUGCUCCUUCAUACAUAUCCUUUAUAGCUUGGAUAUAUGCUACUCGUACUCCUUUCUUCUCUAAAAUCCUCCAAAGAAUGUCUCUUGGGACCCUAUCAUACGCUUUUUCCAAAUCUAUAAAGACCAUGUGUAAAUCCUUUUUCCCAUCUCUAUAUCUUUCCAUCAAUCUUCGUAAGAGAUAGAUUGCCUCCAUGGUUGAGCGCCCUGGCAUGAACCCGAAUUGGUUGUCCGAAACCCGUGUCUCUUGCCUCAAUCUAUGCUCAAUGACUCUCUCCCAGAGCUUCAUUGUAUGACUUAUUAGCUUAAUACCCCUAUAGUUCAUGCAAUUUUGUAUGUCGCCCUUAUUCUUGUAGAUAGGCACCAAAGUGCUCGUUCGCCACUCAUUUGGCAUCUUCUUCGUUUUCAAAAUCCUAUUGAAAAAGGUCAGUGAGCCAUGUUAUACCUGUCUCUCCCAAAAGUUUCCACACUUCGAUUGGUAUAUCGUCUGGGCCUAUUGCUUUUUUAUGCUUCAUCUCUUCUUCAAAGCUACAACCACUUCUUCCUUCCGGAUUCGACGAUAAAAAGAGUAGUUUCUACACUCUUCUGAGUUACUCAACUCCCCUAAAGAAGCACUCAUAUCAUGUCCUUCAUUGAAGAGAUUAUGAAAAUAACCUCUCCAUCUGUCUUUAACCGCAUUCUCUGUAGCAAGAACCUUUCCAUCCUCAUCCUUGAUGCACCUCACUUGGUUUAGGUCCCUUGUCUUCUUUUCCCUUGUUCUAGAUAGUUUAUAGAUAUCCAACUCUCCUUCUUUGGUAUCUAGUCGUUUAUACAUAUCGUCGUAAGCCGCUAACUUAGCUUCUCUGACAGCUUUCUUCGCCUCUUGCUUCGCUUUUCUAUACCUUUCACCAUUUUUCAUCGGUCCUCUCCUUGUAUAAGGCUUUACAACAUUCCUUCUUAGCCUUCACUUUUGUUUGUACCUCCUCAUUCCACCACCAAGAUUCCUUUUGGUGUGGGACAAAGCCCUUGGACUCUCCUAAUACCUCUUUUGCUACUUUUCGGAUACAACUAGCCAUGGAAUCCCACAUUUGGCUAGCUUCCCCCUCUCUAUCCCACACACAUUGGGUGAUUACCUUCUCUUUGAAAAUGGCUUGUUUUUCUUCUUUUAGAUUCCACCAUCUAGUCCUUGGGCACUUCCAAGUCUUGUUCUUUUUGUCUUACUCUUUUUGAUAUGUACAUCCAUCACCAACAAGCGAUGUUGAUUAGCCACGCUCUCUCCUGGUAUAACUUUGCAAUCCUUACAAGUUAUACGAUCCCCUUUCCUCAUUAGAAGAAAAUCUAUUUGUGUUUUUGACGACCCACUCUUGUAGGUGAUCACAUGUUCUUCUCUCUCUUCUUAAAGAAGGUGUUGGCUAAGAAGAGAUCAUAUGCCAUUGCAAAAUCCAAGAUAGCUUCCCCAUCCUCGUUUCUCUCCCCAAAACCAUGGCCACCAUGAAAACCUCCAUAGUUGCCUGUCUCCCUGCCCACGUGUCCAUUUAAAUCUCCUCCUAUAAAUAACUUCUCCGUCUGAGCAAUUCCUUGCACCAAGUCUCCGAGAUCUUCCCAAAAUUUCUCCUUCGAACUCGUAUCCAACCCUACUUGAGGUGCGUACGCACUAAUCACAUUGAUAAGUUCUUGUCCUAUUACAAUCUUGAUUGCCAUGAUUCUAUCUCCUACCCUCUUGACAUCUACAACAUCUUGUACCAAGGUCUUGUCCACGAUGAUGCCAACACCGUUUCUCGUUCUAUUUGUGCCCGAAUACCAAAGUUUAAACCCUGAGUUUUCUAGAUCCUUUGCCUUACUACCAACCCACUUAGUUUCUUGUAGGCACAUAAUAUUUAUCUUUCUCCUCACCAUAACUUCCACUACUUCCAUAGAUUUUCCCGUUAAGGUUCCUAUAUUCCACGUUCCUAAACGCAUUUUGCUCUCUUGAACUCUACCCUACACCCAAAGACCUCAUCCGUCUUUUACCUCGCGGCUGCCAACAACUUCAAAGACCGCUGUCAAACGACUAGUCGGCCGAGAAGCGCUUCCUCAAACUCCAGCUCUUCGUCCGUCUUCGUCUGCUUCCUGCAAAUUCCUCUACCCACCACCCAAAUUUAUACAGAAAAAAAUAUUUAAAAAAAAAAAAAAAAAGGAUGGUGGAGCAAAGUGGUGCUGGCACCACGUGAAAAAAGAAAAGAAAAGGGGAAUGGUGGAUCAGCACCAUAUGAAAGCAAAAAUAAAAAUAAAAAUAAAAAUAAAAAUAAUAAAAAUAAAAAAAUAAAUUAAAGUAAAAAAAAAAAUAUAUAUAUAUAUAUAUAUAUAAUAAUUAAAAAAAAAAAAGGAGAGAAGGUGGAUUCUUGGUGGCUGCAAAGGGGAAGGGUUUUGGAAUGGUGGAUCAAUCCACGUGAAAAAAUAUACAUAUAUAUAUUAUAUAUAUAUAUAUACAUAAUACAUGUAUGUAUGGAGCAAAAAAAAAAAAAAAAAUCCAAAUGCAUCGAGAGAAAUAAAGUCCGUUUUUCUUUAUUUCUUUUUGGAAAUUUUACAUAAAUUUGCAUUGUACAUACAGAAAAAAAAAAAUCAAAUCAAAUCAAAUUUACAAAAAGGGAUCUUCAAAGACGAUCAGGUGGCGCCUCACCACUCGGCAGAGCUCCAGGAAGAAGAGGCGUCGGAGGUUGACUGUUUGAAGCCACACCACUCAGCGGAACUCCAGGAAGAAGAGGAGUCAGAGGUUGAUCAUUUGGAGCUUCACUACGCGGUACAGCCCCAGAAGACGAAGGCAAAUGUUGUUGGAACAAACCCACAAACCUCCGAUGAUCAAGUAAAAUCUGACCAUCAGAUUCCUGCAUCUGGUCAAUUUUCCUCUUCAUGUUUGUGGCAUAGUUGUGUGCGAGCUUGUGCAACUGUUUAUUCUCAUGCUUGAGCCCCCUAGUCUCCUGUUUGAGACUCAUCACUUCAGCCGCCAACGAUUCAACUUGACGGGUUCGAGCAAAUAGGCGUUGGGCCAUGUUGGACACAGAACCCGCACACUGCACACUAAGAGCCAGAGACUCCUUAACAGCCAACUCAUCAGACCGCCUGGAAAGUAGUCUGUUAUCUUUGGGGGUGACAAGGUUCCGGGCCACCACCGCAGCGGUCAUAUCAUUCUUAAUCACCGAAUCCCCAACGGUGAGAGGACCAGUAGGGGAUAUAAAGGAUGGGCGCCAUAUGUUGUCUGGAGAAGGCGGGACUGCCUCUUCACCAAGAUUCAAGUCAAAACGACGGUCGGAGGGUCCAGACAUUUUCAAAGUAUUGAAGGAGGAAGAGAUCGGACAAAUCAAGAGCUUAGAAGUACAAGAGGUGAGUUUUCACAAGCGAAAAUUCAAGUGUGUUUUGAAACGAACAGCGUGCCUCUAUAAAAAAUCAGCACUCGACGGGAUUUCAGAGAUCGAAGAGGCGAGCUCAGAAUUCGAAUAGGCCAUUCAAAAAUCGAAGAGGCAAGCUCAGAAAUCGGAGAAGCAUCUUGCUUUUCCAGACGCGUCGGCACCCGUCACACGCAAACUCAGCUUUGCGAAAAUCACGGGCAAUUUGUCGAAGCGCCGAUCCCAGAUAUCGAAGAGGCGCCAGUCUUUUUCAGCCACGUCAACACCCAUCACACGCAAACUCAGCUUUGCAGAAAUCACGGGUAAUUUGUCGAAGCGCCGAUCCCAGUUAUCGAAGAGGCGCCAGUAUUUUUCAGCAGCGUCAACACCUGUCACAUGCACACUCAGCUUGGCGGAAAUUACGGACAAUUUGUCGAAGAUUUCUGAUAAAGAAGAAAUCACGUGAAGCCUUACUGUUCAAUCACGCAUUAGUUGCCGACACGAGUGAAAGAAUAGUACCUCUACAGGUAUUAAGGGACCUCCUAUAACUGUCCACCUUCACCUUCCAUAGCGAGGCAGACAUACAGAGCCUUUCUUCAUCUCCAAAGAUGCUUUCCCAACGAAGCCUCUCGAGUCAUUCAGUGUUCCUUAUUCCUUGGGGUACCUCUGCAAGCCAAUGACUCCAAAGCAAAAGUAUCUCAUAUCACCGAAAUCACCAAAACAGCUACGCCAUUGUUCAUGUGCAUUCGCUCAAAGAGCUUUCAGUGUAACUUCAAAAAAUUAAUGAAAUCUUUUAUUCCGUUCAAAGAGCUUUCAGGUGAAGGAAGUAUGGAAGAAGCAUCUGACAAAUAACAUGCUAAACCGAAAUCACCAAAACAGGUAGUCAGGCCAUCGUCCAAGAGAAUGUUAAUCGGUUAUUGGCCUGUGAGAGCGAUUGUGCAAAUAAUCCCGAGCAGACCCUAGGUCAAUGGCAAUGUUUACUCUCUGAAUAAGAUCUGAAUGCUUCUGCAGAUUGGUUGACAUGUUUACUCUUUGAAUUGACCGAUUCAGCCAUUCUUCUAGGCUUCCUUUCACCUUGAACCAGUUAACCAAAGCCUUGAACUCGUUUCCGUGAAAAUCGAUGCUUGAACAAGCAGUCGGUAGUUUCCUAUGCUGAUUGAGAAUUGUCUUGUUGAGAUCUCCAUAAGACAAUUUCAAGAGCGAAACCCCUAGAUCCUCAAGUUGACUUAAGUUCUCUUGCUUUUCUUGAUCGGCAAGGAAGCACAAGUUACAACACUACGAUCAAUCCAACAACCCCACAAGCAAUUGAGAGAAUAUUUUCAGCCUAAGAAGUAGUACUUUCUUAGAUAAAGCAUAAGGGCAAUCUUAAAUUAGGUGUACCGCCAUAAAGCUGUGUGUUUCCCAUGUUAGAAAUUAAAUUUGUGUUUUCUAAAAUUCCUUGCAUUGCUACUGCACCUUCAAAAUUGUAAUGAGAGGUUCAAAUUCUGCAACUUGAAACGCUCCAAAUAGUUGGGAAUUCUGCCGGAAAGGUUGCUACGAGAAAGAUCGAAAUAUUCAACCCCUCUCAAAGAACUCAAGGAUUAAGGAAUUGUCCCAUCCGAUAAGUUACCUCUCAGAGACAGUCCUCAAACUCAUGCAACUCCCAAACAGUUUUGGAAACUCGUGCAAUUCCUGAAUCUUUAAACCUCCAAAACAUUUCUGGAAAUUGGUUUCCAUUGUAAGCAAUAUUUACUAUGUUUGGAAAUAAAGGGUGAUCCGAGCCAGGAGGAAGAGUUCCGUGACAGAAAAGUAUUCUAUUGAAGAGAGGUUGUAUAUGGAAGGAAAUAAUAAACUUUUCAACUGUCCGAGGCUAUUUGGAAUAUCUCCAUGCAAAAAUUGGCUACAGAUAAUACUUUAAGAGAGGUAAGAUCUCUAAGUUGUUUGUUUUAACUUUUGUGUAAAUGAUCAUGUGUAAAUAAAAUUUUAACUAAUAUUGACGCUUUUUGGUUCAAAAUUUGAAUGGUUAUGCAAAAUAAUGUGUUAUAAGGUUGAACUCCAUGGGCGAAUCCGAACACAAUCCAAAUAAAUCUAAACCUACUUCAAACCUGAACCUGACUACACCCGUAUGCAAGAGGUGCGCUUAAUGUUUAUUUUUGCAGGCUGUGUACGAAAAGGCUUGCAUACAUACAUACAUACAUAUAUAUACAUAUAUAUACACACACACCAAACUUGAAUUGACAAAUUCUAAACUUAAAAUUGCAUAAUUUAAUUAUAAGAACAUGAACCAACCUUAAAUUGACAAAUUUCAAAUUUCCAAGCAAACAUAAAGAUGAUCUUACAAAUUAAGAUCAUUCACAAAACAUACAAAAUGAAAUUGCAAAACGGGAAAAUCCACUUCACUUGUUCCAGUCCUCCUCGUCAUCAUUCAGAAGAUCACCAUGCAAAAUUCAAGCACUGUCAUGGGAUUUUAUUUAAUGAUAACAGGGUAUCAUUACUCACUACUUAGGUCGUCAUCACAGAUUCUCUCUGGGCAUCCUAGUUCCAGUUAGCACAUCCCUUAUUAGACUCAAUUCAGCUACCACAUUGCUCAUGUCCUUUCGCUCUCUCGGCGUCGCUACAGAACAAGCAACUCCUACUCUUGCAAUGUCAGUCAAGCACUCCACAACCCUUUUUCUUUGAUCAUUUGGGGCAUGAUUCCCCCUAUUACUUCUGGGAUUAGUACUGCUGCUGCUUUCUUCUAUUUGAACAAGUAGUGGAUCACAUAUUUCUCCCACACGUUCUGGUAGAGCCGUUAUAACAAAAUUGUGCAGGUCCAUACCACCUUUAAACAUGUCAUCUGUCGGCCUCUUGCCAGUUAACAUCUCCAACAACAGUAUUCCAUAGCUAUACACAUCGCCAUAUGUUGACAGCUUGCCUCCCAUUCCAUACUCUUAAGUUAUAUGCACAAAAACAUAGCUUUGUUCUUAUGUGUGACUUCAAAAAACUUAUGCUAUAUACAAAACCAUACUGGAAGCACAAAUAAAAUAUAUACAAAAGAAAAUUUACCUGGGGGAGUAUAGCCUAUGGUGCCUUUUAUGACAUUGGAACUGCUCUCGUACAAAGGAGAUGGGCAAAAAGCAUCCCGGAGGUACCUUGCUAAACCGAAAUCACCAACACAAGCAGUCAUGUCAUUGUCUAACAAAAUGUUGCUGGGCUUUAUAUCACAAUGAACUAUUGGCAUGUGGGAGCGGUUGUGCAAAUAAUCCAAAGCAUAUGCUACAUCGAUGGCAAUGUUAACUCUUUGAGUGAGAUUCAGAUUCUUUGGCAGAUUGGCUGGCCUACCUACUUCUUGAGCUGAUAUGUGCAGCCACUCAUCUAGGCUUCCAUUCACCAUGAACUCAUACACCAGGGCUUUGAAUUCGUUUCCUUGAAAGUCAAUGCUUGAACAAGCAGUCAGUAGCUUGACAAGAUUUCGAUGCCUAAUGCUUUUCAAGGCUUCACAUUCAGAUAUGAAACUUUUAGAAGCUCUUGAAGUUUGAAGAUUGAGUACUUUCACCGCAACAUUUAUUUCUUCAUGCUGAUUGAGAACUCCCUUGUAUACGGACCCGAAACUUCCAGAACCAAUCAGAUUCGAAGCAGAGAACCCAUCAGUUACUUUGAGGAGAUCUCCAUAGGACAGUUUCAAGAGUGAAACCCCCAGUGAUGAUCCUGAAGUUGACUUGAGCGCUCUAGCCUUUCUUGAUCGAUAAAGAAGAGCAAGUAACAACACCAAGACCAAGCCGACAACCCCACAGGAAACUGAGAUAAUUAAGUUCAUCUUAGGAGAUAACCCGCGCUUAGAUUGCUUGGAGAUGCAUUUAGGCAAUCUUAAGUGAGGUAUACCUCCACAAAGCCGUGUGUUUCCCACAACAGAUACCGCACUUGCAUUCUUAAAAACUCCUUGGAUUGGUACUGCGCCUUCAAAAUCGUUAAAUGAGAGGUUCAAAUUAUGCAAGAAGGGGAAACUCCCCAAGUAGUUGGGAAUUAUGCCAGACAAUUUGUUGUGAGAGAGGUCAAAAUCUUCAAUUCCUUUCAAAGAGCUCAAGGAUUUAGGAAUUGUCCCCUGCAAUAAAUUUUCUCUCAGAGACAGAGUCGUCAAACUUGUGCAACUCCCUAAGCUUUGUGGAAUCUCACCAGAUAACUUGUUUUCAGAAACAUUCAAGAAAACAAGAUGCUGUAAGUUACCUACUUCCAAGGGAAUGGAUUCAGUAAGUUGGUUUCUAGCUAGAUUCAAGUGAACAAGUAAAUUGAUGACUUGUUUUGGAAAUGGACCGCUAAGAUUGUUGUGGGAAAGAUCCAAAUAUAUCAAAAACCUGCAGUCUCCGAGACUUUGUGGUAUGCUUCCAUUUAACUUGUUUGACCGGAGAUACAAAUUGCUUAAUGAAGUUAGAUUUCCUAGAGAUGAUGGAACAUUACCUGACAGUUCAUUGGCUUGUAGAUCUAGGCCAUAAAGCUUAUUCAGUUUACAUAUUGAACUCGGUAUAGUGCCUGCCAAUAAAUUCGCAUAAAAGCUUAGUCUCUCCAAGUUGAUAAGAUUUCCAACCCCGACGGGAAUGCUUCCGCGUAUCUGAUUCUCAUAUAAAUAUAUUCCCUUGAGCUUUGUUGAGAGAUUGCUGAUAGAUUUAGGCAGCACUCCUCCAAAAUUAUUGGUACCGAUAGAUAACACUUCUAAAUUGGUGCAAUUAACUAGAGAAGAGAUGAAAUCCAAGUCACCUUCCUCAUUAUUUCCAAGAUUGUUUUCAUCAAGUUCAAACCAAGACAAAUUUGACAGGCGUGCCAGACUAGGCACUUUUCCAGUAAACUUAUUGAAUGCGAUAUCAAAUUUUGAAAGGUUUGAGGCAUUGGAGAUUGAAGCUGGUACUGAUCCAGUGAAUUGGUUGGCAUAGAAAACAAAUGUUUCGAGGUUUGGAAAUAUAGUGUGGCCCAAGCCAGGUGGAAGAGUUCCAUGAAGGUUGUUUUUGAAACAUAUAAAUGAUUUGAAUUGACGAGAGGUUGUAUAUGGAGGGAGGGAUGGUACCAUUCAAAUAAUUCAUAGCCAGUGAAAAACCCGUUAAGCCUUUCAACUGGCCAAGGCUAUUUGGAAUACCUCCAUGGAGAUUAUUUUGAGGCAAAGAUAGCCUCGAAAGAGAAGAAAGAUUCCCAAAAGAAGGUGGGAUUUUCCCGUAAAAAAUUGUUCUUGCCUAAACCAAGUACCUGAAGCUUGGACAAUGAGGCAAUUUCAGUUGGAAGUUCGUCACUAAGAGUGUUGCCAUUUAAGCGUAGGUAUUGGAGGUUAGAGCAACGUGAUAUGUUGAAUGGAAUAUGACCACCGAAGGAGUUGUUAUCAAGGAAUAGUUCUUCCAAGCGGAACAAACGACCAAUUUCUGGAGGGAUGGUGUGGCUGAAGCUAUUGUUCUGGAGGUAUAAAGCCCUCAAAAAGCUCAAGUUUCCAAUGUGGGGAGAUAGGUGGCCUGCCAGCCUGCUUGAUUGGAGGUCGAGCACCGUAACCCUCUGGUGUCUGUGGCCACAAGUGAUGCCUGGCCAAUGACAAAAGUGGAGGGAUUCAUUCCAAGGGCUAAGGAUGCCGAGGGUAUCGGUCACGAUUUCAGCUUUGAAGGCAAGCAGGGAAAGCCUAUCCACCUCAUUUCCCGCUAAACGGGAGGAGGAGGCAGAGCUAAAAAGAAAGAGAAGAAAGAGUGGUUGGAUGAAUCUUAAAUAACAAAUAAAUCUUAAAUAACGAUGAUGUUACUGUUGAUAUUGUUGAUAGGGAUACACACCAUUUUUAGGCCCCGUUUGGUAUACUUUUUUUUCACCAAAAACUGCUUCACUUUAAAGCUAAGCAAUAAAAAAAGUGUUUGGUAAAAGUAAAAUAUGCUGCUUAUUUUAAAAGUAAUAGCUUCUAGACAACAACUUUUAAAAGUAGCUUGUAUGUUGUAAUAUCUUCAUUAAUUAAUAUUUUUAUAAUAACAUUAUUUGCCUUCCACACACAUUUUAUCCCUUAGAAAAUAAAGUGACCGUUAUGACCUACCAUUACAAACACUAUCCUUACACUAUCAACAUUAUUACCACCACCAUAACCUAACCAUAACCACCACUACCGCCAUUGUCAUUACCAUCAUUAAUGUCGUCGUUGCCACCACCACCACAACUGCAACCGCCACCAUUGCCACCACUAGCACUACCACCGUCCCUAGCACCAUUGUUACCUUUACACCCCAACCACCACAUCCCACUAUUAGCACCACCACCAUACCUCCACUAUAACCACAACUGCGACCACUACCGCCACAACCACAACUGCCACCAUCGACAUUAGCACUGCCAUUAACACCAUUAUUACCUCUACACCCCAACCACCACAUCCUGCUAUUAACACCACCUCCAUUCCUGCUACCAUCACCACCAUUGCAACCACCACCACCACUACCACUAUUACCACCAUUGUCCCCGCCACAGCUGUUGUCUCCCCACUCCUACUACUAUAUCUAUUUUGUCAUUGUAUACAAUUAUAUUACUGUUACAUUAAAAUUUACCAAUGCUUUUACAUUGCUUUUCUUACUCAUAUCACUUUUAAAACACAGUUAACCAAACGCUCAUCUGCUUUAUUUUACAGCUGAUUAUUCUUAUAGCACAACAGAAGCAGUUUUUUUUUUAAAAGCAUAGCAAUCCCAAACUGGCCCUUAGUCUCACGCACAAUCCUAUUUAAUUAUAUUUUUUGUUUACGUUUAAUUUAUUUAAUUUUUUUGUUAUAAUAAUAAAGAAUGUGUGAGAAGCUAAUAAGAGAGUGAAAAGCUAAUAAGAGAGUGAAAAUCACCUCCGUAAUUGAUAUUGUUGAUUUGUUACUGGAAUAGUGCUAUUUGAGGACAUUACUUUAGUCUAAAGUAAGAUCUCCAAUUGCACUGUUCAAGUGCAAAUCAUAUCGGAACAGACAAAGGUACUCAAACUCAAGUGUCCCACAUGCUGACAUCCAACAAACCAAUCAAAACAAAAAAUGCAUAAAAGGGUCUCGAGUUUUGCCAAAUACACCACCACAAUGAAGAUGCUUUACCCAAAUGAAGGAAUAGACUUACCAUCAUAGGAAACUCAUGCCUCCUCUCUACGAAGCUUUGCUGGCUCUCUGUGUUUUCUCACCUGCAAUUUAGACCCAAUGCGCAGAGGCAUUUCACCCAUGAAAUUCUCAAUCCAGAAACAUCUAAAAACAGAGAACAAAGAACCGAGAAAACCGUGUGUGCGAGCGUGCGUGUUUCUCUGGUAUAUUUUAUCAAACAGGUGAUAGGCACUGAACAAAACAUACAUAUGAAUGUAAGUGUUGUUUGUAAACUCAAAUGGAACGCGCAAAAUUACACUCUAACAUGGUUUGGCAAUUUCAGUUCAUUAAGUGAUUUCAAAUUUAAUAAUCAGAACAUAAAAGAAGAAAUACGAAAAAUUACAGUUAGAAGUCACACAUCAGUUAAAUAGUUGAAAAAUAAGCAAGCUUGCUUAGGGAACUAUAUUUAAAUUUUUAUCUCAGUGAGGUUUAAGUAAUCAGGCAUUUAAAAAAAGAAAACUAAUGAAAAUGGCUUGAAAAUUUUGAGUUUUAAUGAUAAGGACAAAAUAAAGGGUAAAGUAAAUAGUAACAUGAUUGACUUUUUAGUGUAAAAAUGUGGUUUUUCGUUAAAGUGAACAGUACCGGGUGCUUUUCGUUAAAGUUCCCUUUAAAAAAUAAUUAUUCUAAAAAUUUCAACAAACGUAAUUAAUUUGGUGAUUAGCAAUAGCAUGCACUGAUACAAACAAAAACUUGAAUUCCAAUGUCAUGAUGAUUAAUCUAAAUCUAAUGAGUAGUUUUCAAUUAAAAAAAUCUAGUAAAUAAUUACAAAUUAUACAAACAAAAAUAUUGGAUCUUGAUUUAUACUGCAAAGGCUUUUUAUUCAAAAUGGUCCCUGAGACUUGCAUCAUCCAUAAUUUUGAUCCCUGAGAUUUAAAAUCAAUAGAAGUAGUCCUGAGAUUGUCCACCAUCCAUGAUUUUUAGUCAUUCUGUUAAAAACUGGAAAACUCGCCAGAAAUUGGGUAAACUUUAAACGUUCAUAACUUCUUCAAUACUCAACGAAAUCGAGUGAUUCAAAAACGAAAAUCAUACUUCUUGACAAGACGAAGAUAAUGAUACCUUUUUCAAAGGCUAACUCACCUUGGUUUGGUAGGACAACGGCUCGAAAGUGGCUAAAGUUUUCCGACCAAACCAUGGUGAGUUAGCAGUCACGAAAGAUACCAUUAUCUUUGGGCAAUCAUUGGGCUUCCAAAUAGGUAUUUUCCGGCCAUCUCCGGCAAUCAUUGGGCUUCCAAAUAGGUAUAAUCUUAUUCUACACUUUCCUAUCUUCCGUUUGAUAUAUUAUGGGUCGAAUUUGGUUAAGAAACGAUUGAGUUACGAAGCUUUGAAAAUUGCACAAACUUCCAGCCAAGAGCUUUGGGACACUUAACGGAGUUUUUUAACGGAAUGACCAAAAUCAUGGAUGGUGGACAAUCUCAGGGACUACUUCUAUUGAUUUUAAAUCUCAGUGACCAAAAUUAUGGAUGAUGCAAAUCUCAUGGACUAUUUUGAAUAAAAAGCCUACUGCAAAAUUUGAUCAAAAUAAGAUGAUUAUUAAUCCAGCGGGUUUCUUCACUCCUAUUACAUAAGACAAAAAUACCUACAUCAAUACUACAUAAGUUCUAUAGUUCCUAUGAAAAACCUGUAUUUAACCAACCUACUCCUUUCAAAUGGAAUUUGGUGUCUGAAAAAUGAGAAAUUCAAAAACUUUGCGGCGGAAAUUUAAAAAAAACAAAAACAAAAACCAAACACUUAUUAUGUAUUAUCACUUUAAUUCUAAUUGCCACUUCAAGCUCCCUAGCUUUUGACGCAUCAUGAUCAUACUCAUAAAGCCCUGACCAUGAAACCAAAAUCAUUACUUUAACAAAUAAAUAUAACCAACAACAAAAACAACUAAAAUUUUCAAAUGGAUUAUGCCAAAAAUUACCAGCCGAAUUACUGAACACCAUGAUAUCGAGUCGGAAAACUGAUUUCCAAUGCUCCAACAAAUACUGAAGAAGGCCAAGGUGUCGAGGAAUAAGGUGCAGUGAUAGUAUUAUCCUUAUCGAAUACAAUUAUACUACACAAAUGAAUGUGUUGCACUUGACAGGCCUUGUAAACUUGUGAAGCAUAGCUUUGCAGGAUGCGUUUUUAGAAGUCGAGCCCACGCAUAUGAACGUAAAACGUUAAAUACAUUUUUCCACCAGUGCCUUAAGUAAAUUUUAGAUACAUAUUGAGAUCUCUAUAAUUGACAGAGGCUUGGAGCUUGUGAAAGUCACAUUUUCCAUUGAUUGAAUAUCAUAAACCACAAUUUUAUGUUCAGAAGUCAAGCCUACAAAGAUAAGCAUGUUCAUUAACUUCAUUAACAUCCUCCAUUUAUGACAAACCUAUCAAAACCUCAAAAAACCAUAAUAUCCCCGAACCUUGUUUGAGUAAAUACUUUCUCUUGUAAUAUUAUUCAACACAAUGUAUAAGGUUAUAUACAAUAGCUAUGACGUAAUUGAUGCUAAACUAACUCCUACAAUUAAGCUAGCAUACAACAGAAUAGGAAAAUAUAUUACACUUAAUUUGAUAACUGUUGGAUUGAUUUGUUACUUGAAUCGUGUUGAUCCUUUCCUUCUUUAACACUCCCCCUCAAGUUAGAGUGUAUAUUAAUCACUCCUAACUUGCUGAGUAAUACCGUAAAUUGUGGGGAACCCAGCGCUUUGGUAAACAAGUCUGCUAGUUGAUGAUGUGUUCGAACAUGAGCAGUCUUGAUCAUUCCUUCUUGGAGCUUUUCACGAACUAAGUGACAGUCGAUUUCGAUGUGCUUCGUUCGUUUGUGAAAAAACUGGAUUUGAAGCUAUAUGUAGGCCCGCCUGAUUGUCGCAAUGGAGCAUAAUAGGCUGCAACUGUUUGACAUUUAAAUCAACAAGUAUGUAUCUUAACCAGGUGAUCUUGCAACAAGUGGAUGCCAUGGAGUGAUACUCGGCUUCCGCUGUUGAACGAGAAAUUGUGGUUUGUUUCUUAGUCUUCCAAGAAAUUGGUGAGUGACCAAGUAAGAUGCAAUAUCCAGUGACUGAUCUUCUAGUGUCAUUGUAGCGUGCCCAGUCAACAUCACAAAAGGCUCUUAAUUGAAGUGAGCUAAAGGUCAAAAGAAACAGCCCUUGUCUCGAUGUUUGUUUGAUGUGUUAAGGAUACUGAAGGACUAUCUACUAAUCAUGAACACAAUGUAUCAGAUUAAUACCUAGAUACUUAGCUUAGUUGUUAAGUUUUGGUUUGUUAGAGUUUGUUGUAUUAGAAUGCUUAGUCAGCAUUAGUGAGUAUUUAUGUAUAACAUACACCUUGUACUGAGUGUGGAAUUAAUGAGAUUUAUUCUUCAACAACUCAAUCUCUCUCUAGAUUCUUUCUCUGUCUAAACUCUCUCUAGAAUCUUGUUUUCUUUACAGAUCUUUGAUCUUCAACAUGGUAUCCUUCGCCUCUGUCUAACGACUUCGAUCUUUUCCUUCCGUUUGUGUGCAUUUUCUUACUUCCCAAACAGAUCUUUCUCCCUUUCUUUUUCUACGAAUUGUUUGCUGCUUUCAUGGCGACUUCCUAUGAUUCUCCUUCUUCUGGUCCUACUUCUCAUGGUGAGGUGUCUAAUCUGCUUCAUCCUUCGAUUGGAUCGAUUACGGUUCAGAAUGUUGCUGCCAUGAUUCCGAUUAAACUCAAUCGUCAGAAUUAUAUAUUACCUGGCGUAGCUUGUUUCUUCUUAUUCUGAAACGAUUCAAGCUUCUAGGUCUCGUCAAUGGCGACGAUCUAUGUCCACCGGAAUUUGUUCGUGAUUCUUCUGGAUCUCAAAUUCUCAACCCUGCUUAUGAACUUUGGUGUGAACGUGAUCAGAUUCUGACGAUUUGGAUCAACUCUACCCAUGCUGAGGAUAUUCUUCCGUUGACGAUUGGGAUGGCGGAUUCGUGAUCUCUUUGGCAGUCUCUUGAGCGUCGUUUUGCUGGUGCUUCACGCACUCAUGUGCAUAGUCUUCGCUCCAAGAUCCAGACUAUUCAGAAAUGUGACUCUUCGCUGACCGACUACUUCAACUCUAUCAAAGAAAUCUCCGAUAAACUGGCUACUGCUGGUGAGCCGAUCUCUGAGAAUGAUCUUGUCGCUUAUAUUCUUUCUGGCCUGCCUGAUGAGUAUGAAUCAUUUGUUGAUUCCAUUGAGACGCGAUAUGAAGAUGUGACUACUGAUGAACUUCACGGGCUUCUCCUCAGUAAAGAAAUCUCGCUCCAGAAGCGUAAGACUCGAUCUUUUUCUUCCUCUUCAGCACAUUUUCAUGCUUAUACAGCACAACAACAUUCAUCUGGUUCCAAUUCUUUUCGAGGAAAUUCUAGAGGAAAGUUUCAGAAUCGGAAUCGUUCUCAUCAGCCUCGUAACUUUGGUCAGAAUCGUAAUUUUGGUCCUAAUCGCAUUUUUGGUGGUGUUCUUGGUUCUGCUCCGAAUCCGAAUCGACCUUCAUCCUCUGGUUUUAUUCCUAAACACUAUCAAGCGAGUUCCUCAUCCUUUUCCUCUGGACGUUCUCUUCCUUGUCAAUUGUGUAAUCAGUAUGGUCAUGGUGCCCUUUCUUGUGGCCGUCUUUCUCAAUUUGCUUCUCAGCAAUCUCCAGGUUUCACUAAUCCUCUUGUCGGUAUGUUUGCCAUGACUGGUUCCCCUUCUCCAAGCUACUGGCUUACUGAUAGUGGUGUUUCCCAUCAUGUGACUCCCGACCCUGCUUCUCUCAACUCAGUCAUUCCAUACACUGGCACUGACCAACUAUUUGUUGGUGAUGGUAAAGGUCUCUUCAUUUCUCACACUGGAUCUGCUCUUAUUCGAACUGCUAAUGCUGUGUUUUAAACUACAUGAUGUUCUUUUUUAGUUCCUCAAGCAUCUCAUAACUUGCUCUCCGUAUAUCGAUUUGUUCAUGAUAAUUGGUGUUCUCUGACAUUUGAUCCAUUUGGAUUCUAUGUCAAGGACCUACGCACUCGGAUGAUGCUUUUCCAGGGCCCCAGUGAAGGGGGUCUCUAUCCUUUCUAUUAGAAUGCAUCUAAUGGCAUAUCUGGGAUUGCUGUUUCUCCUCAUGCUCUUAUGAUUGCUCAAGCUGACAUCAAUAUAUGGCACAGAAGGCUUGGACAUCCUUCUAGUGUUGUUUUAAAUAAGAUUGUUAAUAAAAGUCAACUGCCUGUUGCUGGUUCAGUACAUAAACAAUCCUUUUGUUCUGAUUGUCAAUUUGGGAAAGCUUCUAGGCUUCCAUUUUCUGUUGUACCUUGUACAUCCAUUAGGCCAUUUCAUAUCAUUCAUGCUGAUGUAUGGGGUCAUUCUCCCACUCCUUCAUGUACUGGCUAUAAAUACUAUCUUGUUUUGGUUGAUGAUUUCACCAAAUAUAGUUGGUUAUAUCCUUUGCACUUCAAAUCUGAUGUUUGUUCUGUUCUUAAAACAUUUGUUUUGAAAGUUCAGAAUUGGUUUGACAGUAAGAUCCAGUGCUUACGAUCUGAUUCAGGGGGUGAGUUUCUCAAUUCUGUUUUACAAGGAUUUCUUAAUACUCAGGGCAUUAUACACCAGUUGAGUUGUCCUCACACUCCACAGCAGAAUGGUUGUACCGAAAGGAAACACAGGCAUAUUGUUGAAAUGGGUCGGACUUUGAUAUCUCACAGUGGUUUGCCAUCCAAGUUUUGGGUAGAAGCUUUUCAAACUGCUGUGUAUCUCAUCAAUCGACUACCUUCUCAGUUUUUAUCAUGUCCCUGGGAGUUAUUGUUCAAGGCUGCACCUAAGUAUCACACCUUGAAGACCUUUAGUUGUGUUUGUUACCCUUGGUUGCAACCUUAUAGUUCUCACAAACUGGACACAAAGAGCAAGCUCUGUGUAUUUUUGGGCUACAGUUUGAAUCACAGUGGUUACCGAUGCCUCGAUCCAGUUACCAACAAGCUGUACAUUUCCCGACACGUUGUCUUUGAUGAAAAUUCCCUCCCCUUUAAGCACCUCCCUACUUCCCCUACUACUUCUUCUUUAUCCUCUCUUACACCAUCCGCUCCUUCCUUUUCCUUUACCAUACCAGUUCCUCAUUCCACACCUUUACCCGUUCCUACUUCUUCUUCUCCAGAACCUACAGAACCUGUAUCCAUUGCUCCAUCUCCAGACUCUACCUCCAUUGCUCAUUCUCCAGAAUCUGCAUCCAUUGAUCAACCUCCAGCACCUUCUAUUCCAGUUAAUACUCAUACCAUGGUUACAAGGGCUAAGGCCGGAAUCCACAAGCCUAAAGUGUUCACUGCAACUAAACAUCAUCUUCCUCCCACGGUUGAUUCCCUUACUGUUAUUCCUCUCACUCCAACCACCUACCUCCAAGCUUCUAAGAAUGCAAACUGGUUGGCAGCAAUGCAGGCUGAGUAUUAAGCUCUCAAGUCCACCGGUACUUAGGUUCUAGUUCCUCCUAAUCCUCAAUAUAAUUUGGUAGGCUGCAAAUGAGUGUUCAAACUCAAACAUAAAGCUGAUGGUUAUAUAGAGUGCUACAAAGCUCGGCUUGUGGCCAAGGGAUUUCAUCAACAAGAAGGCCUUGAUUUCUUUGAGACUUUCAGUCCUGUAGCUAAACCUACUACAAUUUGUCUUCUCCUCUCUAUUGAAAUUACAUAUGGUUGGUUUAUUCACCAGUUGGAUGUGAGUAAUGCCUUCCUUCAUGGUUCCCUCAAAGAGGCCGUCUACAUGGUGCAACCACCUGCUUUUAUUGAUCCAGCCAAUCCUCAUCACGUUUGUAAACUGCAAAUAUCACUCUAUGGUCUUAAACAGGCACCCCGAGCCUGGUAUGAAGCAUUUUAUGGUGCUAUUCUCUCAUUGGGAUUUGUUUCUUCCUCAUCUGAUACUAGUCUUUUUAUCAAGAAAAACUCUACUAUUACUUUUAUACUGGUUUAUGUGGAUGAUAUUAUCAUCACUGGGAGUUCUCCUACUGUUUGCCAAUCCAUCAUUUCGAAGUUGCAAUCUUUGUUUCUUGUCAAAGAUUUGGGAGAUAUUCAUUAUUUCCUUGGCAUUGAGGUUCACAGAUCCUCUACCGGUCUUUUUCUUCAUCAAUCCAAAUAUGCUUUGGACUUGCUUAAGAAGAUAGAUAUGCUUGGUGUCAAACCUUGUUCUACUCCAGUGAGUUCCGCCAAGUUGGAUCAUUCUGGCACUAUUCUUUCCGAUCCUACUCUUUAUCAAUCAACUGUUGGUGCUCUUCAGUACUUGACAUGGACUCGCCCUGAUUUGGCUUUUGCAGUGAAUCAAGUGUGUCAGCACAUGCAUGCUCCUCGUACUAUUCAUCGCCAGGCUGUCAAACGGAUCUUACGCUAUCUUAAGGGUACUAUUGACUCCGGUUUAUGGUUUAAACCAGGCAAUCAGUUUCUCACAGCUUGGUCUGAUGCUGAUUGGGCCGGUUGUCCAGUUGACCGACGAUCUACUAGUGGCUAUUGUGUUUUCUUGGGUCCAAAUCUGAUUUCUUGGAGUGCCAAGAAGCAAACCACUAUGGCACGAUCGUCUACUGAAGCAGAGUAUCGAUCUUUAGCCAAUACUGCUGCUGAGAUCACUUGGGUGUGUGUAAAAUUUUGCAGGACCUUUCUUUUCCUCUUCUUCGCCCUCCUGUGAUUUUUUGUGAUAAUCAAAGUGCUAUUGCAUUAGCUAAAAACCCUGUUUUUCAUGCUCGAACAAAGCAUGUCGAGAUUGAUUACCAUUACAUCCGCGAAAAAGUUCUUCACGAUCAUAUCAGCAUUCAUCAUGUUCCUACUCUCUUUCAGAUUGCUGAUAUUUUUACUAAGUCCUUAUUUGCAUCUCGUUUUGCUACUCUCAGUCACAAGCUUUCAGUUUGUUCUCCUCCCUUCAGCUUGAGGGGGUGUGUUAAGGAUACUGAAUGACUAUCUACUAAUCAUGAACACAAUGUAUCAGAUUAAUACCUAGAUACUUAGCUUAGUUGUUAAGUUUUGGUUUGUUAGAGUUUGUUGUAUUAGAAUGCUUAGUCAGCAUUAGUGAGUAUUUAUGUAUAACAUACACCUUGUACUGAGUAUGGAAUUAAUGAGAUUUAUUCUUCAACAACUCAAUCUCUCUCUAGAUUCUUUCUCUGUCUAAACUCUCUCUAGAAUCUUGUUUUCUUUACAGAUCUUUGAUCUUCAACAUGAUGUACCGCAGAACUCUAUGUGCAGCAGCAAGGUGUGGAAUACGAGGUUUGUCUAUGAAUUAGCUAAGACUGUGUAUCGCAUACACCAAGUCAUGUCUCGUAAUCGUCAAGUAUAUUAAUCUUUCAACAAGUCUUCUAUACACAGAGGCAUCAUUUAGUAAUGCACCAUCAGUUUGCAUAAGUGUGAGAUUCGGCUCCAUGGGAAAUUUCGUAGGCUUUGCACUAAGAAAGUCUGUAUCCUCCAAAAUUUCUAGAGCAUAUUUCCGCUGUGAGAUUGUAAUGCCUUUGUCUGAUCGUGCAACUUCUAAGCCUAAGAAAUAUUUUAACUUUCCAAGAUCCUUAAGCUUGAACCUUUCAAAUAAGAAGCGCAUUGUUGCUUCGAUUUGACCCAAAUCAUUACCGGCCAUGAUAAUAUCAUUUACAUAAACAAGCAGCGCUGUGAAUGAAGCACCUCGUGUUUGGAUGAACAAUGAAUAAUCCGUUCGUGAUUAAUGAUAACCACCAGAUUUAAGAGCUGUUGACAACUUCAAGAACCAUUGUCUAUAUGCUUGCUUAAGUCCAUACAACGAUUUGUGUAAUUUGCACACUCAAGUCUCUCCAUUUCGUCCAAAAUCAAAUGGGAGUGACAUGUAUACAUCCUCAUGAAGGUCACCAUGAAGAAAUGCGUUAUUAACAUCGAGUUGGUGUAAAUGCCACCCUUGGACAGCAGCAAUGGCAAGGAGAAGAUGAACUGUACCUAGCUUGGCAACAUGGGCAAAGGUUUCACGGUAGUCGAGCCCUUCUACUUGGCUAUAACCAUUCGCCACCAAUCAAGCCUUAUAGCUUUCGAUAGUACCAUCAGGAUUGGGUUUAACUUUGUAAACCCAUUUGCACCCAAUGGCUUUCUUGUUGGGUGGUAGUGAACGGAGCAUCCAAGUCUUGUUGGCUUGGAGGGCAUUGAUUUCAUAUCUCAUGGCAGCUCUCCAAUGUUCAUCCUGCAUGGCUUGAGAAAAUGUUUUGGGUUCUUUGACAUGGGUGAGUGAGGUAGUAAAGGCACGAUGGUUAAUGGAUAAUUGGUCAUAUGUAAGAUAAUGAGAAAUAAGGUGAGAUGUACCUGACUUGCGAACCACGUUGAAGACAGAUGCGGGACUAGAAGGGAGCUCAACAUCAACCUGAUAAUCAUUAAGGUGCGAAGGUGUAUGUGUCGGACGGGUGGAACAACAAAGAAUUGGUUCUGGAAGUGGUGAGAUAGGAUUGGGUGGUGGUGAUAUAGGAUCGGAUGUGGGCGAGAUAGGAUCAGAUGGUGGUAAUCUGAUGAUUGGAAAAGGUGGCAUUGGUGAAGUGAUUAUGGUUGGUGUCAUUGGUAAAGAUGAAAGGGAAUUGGUGGUUGUUGCUUGUGUUUUUUGAGUGGUAUGAUUUGUGGGAUCAAAAUCAUCAUCAUGUCCAUGGAAAUGAGGAUAAUGGGUUCAGUGGCAGUGAAGAUGUGAGCAUAUGGGAAUUCAUGUUCAUGAAAAGUUACAUCUCGAGAUGUGAACAUUUUUUCCGAGUUCAAUGUCAUAAACCUUGUAUCCUUUUUGGCUAUGUGGAUAACCAAGAAAUAUGCAGCGAGUGGCACGAACAUCAAAUUUGGAAGGUCGGUGUGCGUGUGUGGAGGAAAAACACAAACAUCCAAAAACCCUAAGGUACGUGUAUUGAGGUGGAGUACGAAACAAGAGUUCAUAUGGAGUUUUAUCGUUGAGAACCGGUGUAAGUGUGCGAUUGAUGAGGUAGGCGGCGGUUAGAAUGGCUACCCCCCAAAAUUGUUUAGGUAAUUUGGCUUGGAAAAGUAAUGCUCGUGCUACGUUCAACAAAUGACAGUGCUUUCUUUCAACAACCCCGUUCUGUUGAGGUGUUGCAACACAACUUGUUUGGUGGAAAAUUCCCUUUGAUGAAUAAAAGAGUCAAGGUUAAACUCUGGACCAUUGUCACUACGAAUAAUUUUAACAGUAUACAUAUAUUGUGUCUCAACAAGAGCAAUGAAAUGCAUAAAAAAUGUGCGUGUGUCAGAUUUAUGACGCAUGAGAUACACCCAUGUGCAACGAAUAUAAUCGUUGACGAUUGUAAGGAAAUAACGAGCACCAGAAAAAGAAGGGAUGUGAUAACCACCCCAAAAAUCCAUAUGCAAUAAUUCAAAAGGUUUAACGGUGGAAAUUGAGCUUAAAGGAAAAGGAGUUCUUGUUUUCUUUGCCAGUGGACAAACAAGGCAAUCACUAGCAUCACAAGGCUUGAUUGAACUAACAAAAUUUGGAAGAAAACGUAAAACUUUAUGCGAGGGGUGACCAAGGCGUUGAUGCCAAGAAGCAGGAGAUGAUGUUUGGAUGACAUGGUAGGUUGCAGGCUUGUAAUUAUCAAGGUAGUAAAGUCCUUCCUUCUCAGUUCCCGUCCCAAUCACCUUCCCCGAACGUAGGUCUUGUAUGACAGAAUAACGAUGAAGGAAGAUGGUUAUACAAAAGGAAGUGAGUGUGGGUUUGCUUAUUGAAAUGAGAUUCAGACUAAAGGAUAGGAGGCAAAGAACAUCUGUAAGAAUCAAUUGGGUUGAAAAGACCAUUUCCCAACAUGUGUAACUUUGGCAUAAGACCCAUUUGGGAGUUGUACAAUUCUAUUAUGGACAGGUAUGCAAGAAGUUAACAAGGUAUGUGAACAAAUCAUGUAGUGGGUAGCACCACUAUCAAAUAUCCAAGACAUCAUUUUUCCAUGUGAAGAAAAACAAAAUGCUUUACGUGACAAGUCACUAAAGGUUGUAGAAUUACCAACAUUAUGUGCCAUUGCAUUUGAUUUGUUGGUGUUCAGCAUGCUUAGGAUUUGUUUGCAUUGCUCCAGAGUGAACGGGAAUGAGCUAGACGGUUCUAGUUUGUCCGAGGCAGAAGAGAAGACAUUGUACCUCUGGAAGUAUCUCUUCGUGUGUUGUUGUUGCGUUGCUCAUCCUCACAAACUUUCUUGUAUUUGCGGCAGUAGUCAAUUGUAUGACCCGUCCAACCACAAAAAUCACAUUUUAGAUGAGAACAACAUUUUUCAGUUUUGUGUCCCGUCUUGUCGCAUUUUUCACACUUAGCAUUUAGGUUUCUUUUUUAUGUCCCCUUCCCUUGGUCGCGGUUACUCCCCUUUGCAGCAAAUGUCGUUGCCUCUAUUAGUACAUUCCCAGCAGAUACGUCUUGCUGUCGUUCCUAACGAAGGAUUAAAGAGUAUACUUUGUUGAUUGUGGGCAAAGGAUCCAUCAACAAGAUUUGCCCCCUAACUGCUCCAAAAUUCGUAUUUAAUGACAUCAGAAACUUGAUAGUUUUCUAAAUUUGCAUGUAGUCACUAACGUUCUUCAUGGCCCCGCAAUUGCAUGCGGGAAUGGCAAGAAGAGCGUUGCACUCGUCCCAAAGUCCCUUGAGCUUGGUAAAAUAAGAACCAACUGUCAUGGUCCCUUGAACACAAUCGGAUAUCUCACUCUUUAUGUGAAAUAGUUGCAUGCUAUUAGCCUGGGAAAAACGCUCCUUAAGUUCUGCCCAAAUUUGAGAUGCUAGUUCACAAUAUAUCACGCUGGCUAAUAUCUCCUUAAAGAUGGAACUGAGCAACCAUGUUUUUACUAACACGUUGCAUCGUCCCCAUUGUUGCAUAUCUUCCUGUGAACCUUCAGCUGGUUUCUUGAUAGAGCCAUCGACGAAGCCCAUCUUGUUCUUGGCUUGCAGUGCCAUAGUCAUGGCAAGGCUCCAUGUGCUAUAGUUGUUCUCACUUAGUGGCUACGUCACAAGGGACACUCCGGGUUGGUCUGAGUGGUGUAGGUAGAAUGGAUGAUUAGGAUCAUACUUUGUCCCUUCCGAGAUAUGGACCUAGAGCUCGAUUUCGUCUCUUUGCUGUCACCCAUGGGUAGCGGCUAGGGUUUGUGUAUUUGGAUGUUGUUUUAGGUCACCAAGAGCUUUCUGCUAUGUUACCAUCAAUGAAAUCUUGUUUGAGUAAAUACUUUCUCUUGUAAUCAACACAAUGUAUAAGAUUAUAUACAAUAGCUAUGACGUAAUUGAUGCUAAACUAACUACUACAAUUAAGCUAGCAUACAACAGAAUAGGAAAAUAUGUUACAAUUAAUUUGAUAUUUGCUGGAUUGAUUUGUUACUUGAAUCGUGCUGGACCUUUCCUUCUUUAACACCACCCACCGUUGAAACAACUAAUAUGCAUGAAAUAGUGAAAUAAAUAAUCAGUGAGGGGGAAGAAAUUGAUCCCAUGUUGGAGCUUUUUCGUUCCAAUCCAAAUCGAGCAGGAAGGAAGAAGUUGAGGAGGAAACAUCCAACCUUGAGAACCUCAUCUUCUGGGUACCGAAUCGAGGAGCAAAAGCGGCCUUGAGGGACGAACCCAAAAUCACAAAAACAUCCAAAUUAAAUAUUGUCAGGCACCAAAUGAAGGCCCAGUGAGUCGGCCUAGCCCAACAUAAAGCGUGCCGAUAUUUUUCCUCCGUGAGUUUUUGCCUUUGGAGCAUUAAGCAUUCGCUCGCUCGCUCAUCAGUGCACUUGACUAAUCAUGGCCUCGUUCACUCAGCCCAAAGACGACUCAGUCCCGGCCACCGUGUCAACUCGCCCGUUCGACGACGACGGCUACCUGGGCUACGACCCCCGACUCUCCUCCCAGCGAUUCGACUCCUUCGUCGACUCCGAGUCGCUCAAGGACUCCGCCACCGAUUCCCCAAUCUUCCACGGCUCCGCCGCAGACGACGCUUUCGCUACUCAGCCGGCGUCGGAGGCCUUCUCUCCUCCGUCGAUCUACGCCGAAUCGAACGGCCAGGGCUUUGAUGGAGGGUUUGGCGGGUCCGACGAUCCCAUUUUGCCGCCUCCGUCGGAGAUGCUGCCUGAGGAGGGCUUCGCUCUCAGAGAAUGGAGGAGGUAGCAAUUAAAUUUUGACUCUUUUGUGCAAAUUAGUUGAAAGUUGUUGGUUUUGAUUUGGCGUGAUCUUUCUGUUGCUGAGAAAUUGAGUGGAAGUUGUUGUUUAGUUUUGAUUUCAGUAAUUUUCAAGAAUUGCAUGCGUGGUCAUCAGUAAUCGUCUUUCUGAUAUCGAAUCUUUAUGAAUUUAACGUGCCGAUUGUUCGUAUAAGAUUGCGGAGCUGAAUUCGAAUCGAAAAAAAUUUGUGAUUGUUGUCAAAUUGUAGUUAUUGACUAUCAGAAAGUGAUUUUAUGUUUGCAUUGAAGGUGGUGGAAGAAAUAAAUGGUUGAAUUAUGUGAGGUUGUAAGGGAGUUAUAAUAAUCCGAGCUUUUGUGACAUUCAGGCAGAAUGCAAUUCAUCUCGAGGAGAAGGAGAAGAGAGAAAAGGAGUUGUUGGUUCAAAUAAUUGAGGAAGCAGAUGAAUUCAAGGUGGGAUUCUACCAGAAGAGGAAGAUCACUACUGAAAAUAACAAGGCUGCGAACAGGGAAAGGGAGAAGGUUUGAUCAAAUUAGCUUUCCAAAAAAUUAUGAUGGGCAUGGCACAAUAUUUUGUUUCAAUGAGCUCUUCUAGUAAUGUCGAUUUCAGACUUUACUGCCUCAAUUUUAAGUUUUUGGUUGGAAUGCAAAUGAUGAUUCUUUGGGCUGAUGCUUAUAGUUUUGUUCUUGGAUUGCUGAUUCAUUCAAUAAUUGAAUAGUUGAUCGAAAUAAGCUUUGAAGAAGAGCCACAAAUUGUUGUCACGUAUCUCCCCACAUCCACUCAGCUUGGUUAUUCAUAAAUCGUAACUUUUAUUCUCUUUGCUGUGGAUUGGACUUUUGUGAGUUCAACUAAGUGAUGGUCACAACUGUGUAGGAUUCUCUACGUAAAUCUUAGCUACAAUGUGUCCCUAUUAGGCUUCUUCGUAAAACAAAUACUACUAAUGUUGGUCGUGUUAAUGGUUUUCUGAAUGUCUUUUUAGCUAACGAUUUGGAAUUGAACUUUGUCACAACAUUACAGUUUCUUUGCCUUUAAUAUCCAUAUCAAUCUCUCUGCCAUAUUGUUUUGAACUUGUAUUUUGGCUUUUCUCAGCUGUUCCUGGCUAAUCAAGAGAAGUUUCAUGCUGAGGUAGACAAGAACUACUGGAAGGCAAUUGCGGACCUCAUCCCCAAUGAGGUGCCAGCAAUAGAGAAGAAGAGAGGGAAGAAGGAUACGGAAAAGAAGCCAUCCAUUCUCGUUGUCCAAGGUCCAAAGCCUGGAAAGCCAACCGAGCUUUCAAGGAUGAGGCAGGUACUUUUAAAAUUGAAGCAUAAUACACCUCCCCACCUUAAGCCUUCACCUCCAGCCCCAGCUCCCACCAAGGAUGCAAAACCGAGUACUUCUGCUCCCCCCAAGGCUGCAGUUGUGGCGGCUACCCCCGAGCCUGUAGUAGCUGCUUCGUAAUUUGCCUGGCGUUCUUUGUUAGGCUUAUUUUGUAGAAACCAGAAACCAUGUACUUCCAUUACAACAUUGUGGAGUUUUUCUUCUUUAGUUGAACAUUUCCUGAUGGGUAUAUUCCGU